CUGUCAAGAAGAAUUCUCAUCUUCUAUUCUCGCUCCACUGCGAGUAACAUACGAUUCUGUCACGCCCCGAGCCCGCCUCUUUGGUCGGAUUCGGGCACGCCAACAGACCGCCGAACGGACAGGGUUUCCCCUGCACGCGGACAGAGUCUCCCCUGUACGUUCAAGGCGUCGCAAUCAAUACAAGUACAAGAGGUUCCAAACAGGAACAAUUUUCAACAACGAUUGCAUAAGGAAGGUAUCAAUCAACAUAACACAUCCUAUGUUAUUACAAUCAUUCAUCUCAUCAUUUUACAUCGCAUUUUUCAUUACAUUGAUUCUCAACUUCCAAAUAUACAAUCGAUUUCUAAACAUAAUAUUACAACAUCAAUUCUUUUCUUUUCUUUUCUUAUACCCCUAAGAAGCCGACUCAGGAUGCUGCUAUCUGGUCUCUGUGGUAGGGCGCUAACUACGGAGCUACGCCCUUUCCUCGCGCCGCCGCGCCGCUCGCGUGUGAACCUGUACCCCCAAAAAAACAACAACACGGGGGUGAGACUAUUGUCCAUAGUCGUCAGUGGGUACAGCCACCCAAGUGAAAAGCUCAACCCACCAGGUCCAAAGGAGGCACUGCAACAUGUUAGUCCAACAGAUAUAUAUAUAUAUAUAACAUCAUGCAAUACAUGUUCAUGCCUCACAAAUAUGCAAAUUAUGCAACUCUUAGUCAUUCUUUACCAUUAGCCUUUUUUUAGAAUAUGCAAUUCUUUAUCAUUAGCCAUUCUUUAUUCUUUAAUCUUUAUUCUUCAUUCUUUAUUCUUUAUGCUUUAUUCUUUGUUCUUUAUCCUUUACUAAGGGCACUCGCGCCUUAGGCUCAUCAUACACAUUUGCCAUUCUUUAUAACAUUAACAAGUCUUUCUCAAUUAUCACUCUUUCCUAAGGUUACAUUUACCUUAGCCAACUUUGCCACUCGACUCGGUCUUGAGUCAAUUCAUAAUGAAUACAAGAUCAACUUUCCAAUUCAUGAUCCCUUUUUGUUCUUUGUUCUUUAAUCUCACGGCUAACCCGGGGGUUUCGCCACAUUAACUUGCUUCACAUUAAGUCCAUCAUCGCAGGAACUCACCCGGUAGGACCGUCCUUACGGGUCUACUCCAACCUGGAUGCCAAACUCCGGAGCGCAUCGCCCGAGGGGGAGCGACCGCCCUCGAGCACGGAACUCAUAGCAAGUAUGAUCAUAUCCUUAACUCAAAGGAUUUGUAGUUGAAUCAUGGCUUUACACUAACUCUAGUGUUCUUUACAUCACAUUAGUUGCUAACUCUAGAAAUCAUUGUUCUUUACAUUUCCUUUACUUUUGCUAACUCUAGCAGUCACGUUUUUCACAUUCCUUUACUUUAAGCUAUCUUUAGCUUUCACAUUCUUUAACUUUACACGUUCUUUAUGCCACAUUACAUUACAUUAUCUUUAGCCAUUAUCAUUAUUCUUUACAUCACAUUGCUUUGCCUUGUCUCAAGCCAUUAUCAUUAGGUUCUCACAUUAUAUUUCAUGCAUACACAUAGAUUAUUUAGAUUCUUAAUCAUUCUAAUAAGCACGUGUACUCACAUCAUGCAACAUUACAUUAUUAUCAUCACAUUGUUUUACAUUAUCUUUAGCCAUUAUCAUUGUUCUUUACAUCACAUUUAUUCUUUGAUGUCCCACACUAACUCUAGUGUCCACUUUACCAUUUCGAAUGCCACUCGAUCUAUGUUCAACAUGCAUAUAUUUUGUCAUCCAUUGGUAGUCAUUACUUAGCAUUUUAUGCAUUCGUUAACAUUUACUACAUGCAUUCUCGGUUAGUACAAAUCUCAUACUUUCAUUUGACAUCUAUUUAGCAUUUCUAUAAUAUGCACAUAUAAAUUAACAUCAACUCAUGCAUUCAUUUGGCAUCUAUCUUUAUCAUGCAUUCUUAAUUAGCAUAGUUUAUCAUGCAUUCUCAAAUAGCAUACUUAAUCUUUAUCAUGCAUUCUUAAAUAGCAUACUUUAUCAUGCGUCAAUAGUAAACAUACUACACUUUAGCAUGGAAAGCGACCUAAUCGCUUCGGUGAGCACAACCCACCUCAUUUCGCAUUCCGAUUGCUUGUCGACACUUGCAAUCGGCCUCCCGCGGCACCCGUAACCCGGUUUGGCCCGAUCUUUUGCGCGACUACCGAACGGCCUCCAAUUCACGAUCCGAAAAUUAAAGGUCUUCGGUUAUGUGCCACGAUGCUUCAAAUCAAUUUUCAUGACUUUACGAUAUCGCCUCGGCCCUCCCGGCGGACCCGAAGCCUAAACGUCCAUUUCUUUAAUAACUUUGUAACGCUCGUCGGAUCGCCGAACCGUCUUCGCCAACGCGUUCGUUUACCUAGCAAUUAGGUUUACGGAGGGUCAAAUUAGAUCAAACCCUUAUAUUUUACAAAAUCCCAUUCGGAGCCCUAAUAUGUUAUUAACCUCAAAAUAAUCCAAAAUUAAAUGGAUCAACAUGCUAACAAAGCUCAUUAGAGGCUAUUAGAAUACUUAAAGCUAAGGAUUAAGCCAAAUCCUAAAAGCUUACCUCAAUGUGAACGCCGCGACGACAACACACCGCUCCAACGGGCGCACGAAAGCUCAAUCCGUCGCCUCCAACGCGUUCGCAAGCAUAUUCUCCACCAACCCCGCGAAUUUGAGCGAGAGAUAUAGAGAAAUGAGAGAGAAAUCUAGAGAGAGGAAUGAAGGUUUCUCUCACUAGCACCAUGCGUGCGUGUGUGUGGGUGCUCGGGCUGAAGGAGAGGAAGAAAGAAGCUUCAGCUUCUUUAUAAUACACCCGACACUAUUCACUCCAGGCAACUUAAAAUCUGAUAUCUUUCGCCGGAGCUCCCUGAAUGUCCGUUUGAGCUCAAACUUGACAGUCAUGUUCGGUUUUACUUAACUUAACAAGCUGACGAUCACUGGUUCAGUUUCGACCCCGUUUGGUCACUGAAAACUGUACCGAACUGCAAUCUUUAUCAGAUAGCUUUCGGAUUUUAUUUCUCACUCUAUGGGUGUCAGAAAAAUAUGAAACCUUAAAUCUAGCCUCAUAAAAAUAUUUCUGACAUCUCCGCCAAUUUUCAUAAUUUUCUGAGACUGUGCAUUUUCUGCUUAUUUUUCUGUCCCGUCUCCAACAGAAAAUUCUAGAUCUUCUGUUUUAAUUCCGAUUUCAGCACAAGUCACCUCUGACUUAUGUUUUACCUCUAUAAAUCUAAUAAAAAUAGUUUCUCACACUAUUUUUAUUUAUUAUUAUUUUUAUACCAAAAUCUGGUAUAUUACAGAUUCGAUCUAUGGCACCCUCGUGGAAACAAAUGGGGAAAGGGAGCCAAAUAAUGAGGGGGGUGUACAGAGAGAAUCUUAUUUAUAUGUAUAUAUCUCUUUCAUAGGAGAAUUAGUCCGAGCAGAGAAGCUGAGAAUUGCUGUAGUGCCACUUGGAUGCAAUGGACUGUGCGAGCUUAGUCGGCGGAUGGGGCUGAUGAUUGCUUCCUUUUAGGAAAGGAGGGGUCGGCAUCAGCUUCACUAAUUAAUGUUGGGACGUGGGGUCGUUAGAAGACACUGAAUUUUAGGAUGACUUGAUUUUACUUGUGAAAGUCUUCUCUUCUGUUCAAACAAUGGCCUGCUCCACCAGGUUAGCAUAGGUUAAAUUGCACCCUUUGCCACAUAUUUUUUUGGUGUAAAUUUCAUUUUAAAUUCAAAAAACUUUGAAUUUAGUAUUUAUAUUUUUAAUUUCUAGGUUGCUUUAAGUCCCUUCCCUUACUAUUUUUAAUAUAUAUAUAUAUAUAUAUAGGAACUAGGCUGGAAUACUAUCAAUAACACUAAACUAUUAGUACUAUUAGGUUUUCGGUCAUCGGAUGAAAAAAAUGUAUGGUUAGGAUGAUGUGGGCCCUCUAGAGUUGAGUGAGUUAUUACUUGAAUAAUAUAAUCUAACGGCUGAAAAUAGUCAAAGAGUAUCUAACGGAGGAAAACUCGCUAGCGCCAAGCACUUGGUGCUAUCGAUAGUAUCCCAACCGAAGCCAAGCACUUGGUGCUAUCGAUAGUAUCCCAGCCGAACUCUCUCUCUCUCUCUCUCUCUCUCUCUCAUAUAUAUAUAUAUAUAUAUGGGGAAACUUCAAAUACCCCUUUGUGGUUUCACUUUUUUUCACUUUAUUAGCACCCUGUGGUUUAAAGUGUAUCAAGUUAGUACCCUGUGGUUUUGCACUUUUUUACUUUUGUACCCUAUGGUUUAAAGUGUAUCAAGUUAGUACCAUGUGGUUUCGCACUUUAUCCCCCCAAGUUAUUACUUUAUUAUGAAAUUUAGUUUUCAAAUACUUUCAAUAGUGUAAAUCAAGUCUAAUGGAGCCGAUUGUCGAUUUGGAAGCCACAUUAUUGAAAACAACUUGGUAGCACGGAGGCCUCCGUGCUACCGAUAGUAUAUCACCACCUACCACCACCUACCACCAUCAUCUCAACCCUACAUUUCUCCAUCCAAUGGCUAAAAACUCAAAAGCACCACCCUCAUGGUGCUUUUGAGAGUAUUCUAGCUCAACUCUCUAUAUAUAUAAAAUCUACAAUGCUCUGCUUGGUUCAGGGAUAAUGUGGGGAUAACAAAGUAUAUAUAUAUAUAUAUAUAGAGAGAGAGAGAGAGAGAGAGAGAGAGAGAGAGAGAAAGAGAGAGAGAGAGAGAGUCCAGCUACUAUACUCUUAUGAGUAUAGAGCCUAUUGUACUCAUAAGUUUUUGGCCGUUAGAUCUACCCUUUAAUCAUUUUCACCCGUUAGAUUAUACUAUUCAACCAACCACCCACUCAACCCUAGGGGGCCCACUAUCAACUUAACCAUAACCACUUUCAUCCUAACCGCAAAUUUUUUCAUCCGAACGAUAUAUAUAUCAACCUGACCCGAUGAUAAUCAUCGUUUUAAGAUAACAACGAUAGUCAAAAAAUUGGAAACCUAGUUAAGAAAAGUAAUAAAGAUUGGUAACCUAAUUUAUGAUAUUGGUUCACCCCUGGUGAGUUGGGAUUAGAUGGCAAACCAAGUCCCAAUUCCUUUUUGAUCAAUAUGGUUCCUAUCCCAAGUCAAAUCCCAAUUCCACCCCAAUCUCAUAAAAACACAAACCAACCCCUAACCUCAAUCAGGUCCUAUCACUUUUUAUCAUAAACCAAUCUCAUCCACCCUAUUCUUCUUAUCACCCAAUAAUACUUAUCUUUUAUCACAAACAAACCCCAAACCAACCCAAUCCACCCCAAUCGAUUGAGCCCUAUUGGUUAAACUCCACCCCAAUCGAUUGGGGUGCCAGGGGUGGGUAAAAAUCUUCAUAAACCUUUAUUUUAUCCCCAAUCCCCAAUAAGGUGGGGGAUUGGGGAUUGGUUUGUUAUCGCUGGUGAGUUGAGAUUGGCUGAUUAUAGUAGGACUGGGGUGUGUAGGGUAGUUGGUUGCCAAUUUUUGAACUACUCGUUUUUCUCUCAGAGAUGAUUAUUAUCAUAAGGUCGUAUUGGGGUAUGUAUAUAUAUAUAUCCGACACCGAUGAUAUGAGUAUACUCAUAUCUCGGGAAACAUGAGUAUUCAAAAGCUGNNNNNNNNNNNNNNNNNNNNNNNNNNNNNNNNNNNNNNNNNNNNNNNNNNNNNNNNNNNNNNNNNNNNNNNNNNNNNNNNNNNNNNNNNNNNNNNNNNNNAAGGGUUUGGUACUAUCAAUAGUAUAGUAGCGAGACUCAUCUCAUUCUAUAUGAUAUAGGCUUAAUAAGAUGAAGAGACCCUUUAAUAACCGUUGAGGGUCUCGGACCAAUGCAAACUAACUAUAACUGCCUCAACUACCACCAGUCUCAUGCACAUGCGCUGACGUGGCAGGCCUAGUCCACUAAAUAAUAAUCAGUACGUACCAAACUAUAUUAACUACCUAAUAUAACCACCUAUAUACAUAUAUAUAGAGUACAUAGAACCAUAGUUAGUUAAUUCGGAUUCGGCAAAAAUUUAGUACGGAUAUAAUACGCAUAAAAUUCGUUUUCUAAUUUUUAAAUUCGUUGAAAAAUUCGGCUUAAAAAACGGAUUCAGUAUAAAAUAUAAAAUAUAAUAUAUAAAAUAUAAGAUAAUCUAUAUUUAAAUAUAAAAAUUAUAUAUUUUUUAUUCAUAUUUUUAAUAAUUCAUAAAUAAUUUGCGAAUUAUUCGGCUGGCCCAAAAAUUCGCGAAUAAUUCUCUAUCUUUGAAAAAAAUUCGUAAACAGACCGUUUAAUUCGGAUUUUCAAUAAUUAAUUCGCGAAUAAUUCACGAAUUUACUAACAUAUAUAGCAUAGAACAAGAAUAAGAAUAAGGUGGGGAAUAACUACCCAAAAUAAUAAGAGACACUAUUCUUUUUUUUUUUUUGAGAGAUAAGUAGCACGCUACCCGCUUCGUUUAUUUCAUUUAGAAAUAAACUUAGCUGGAAAUAUGAAUUAACUAGGAUUCGAACUUGGGUCUCGGGUACCAACCACCAAGCUCUUUGCCACUUGCUUUAGGGAUGGUCGGUAUUAUAAGAGACACUAUUCAUGACAGUGAGCAAGAGGAGACAAUUAAGGCCAUCAUGUAGAACCAACUCACUCAAAUUAACUGCGCGUAAAAUUUAAACCAAUAAGUUUUUAACAAAACUCGUAUAUUUUGAAAGAAUUAGAAUUCUAAUUUUACAUUUAAAAUGAAAUAUAAUAUCCUAGAUGCACUUUAUUUUAUAGUACAUAUGCAAGAAAAGACUGUCAAACAGAUCCUAAAGCGUGGAAGAACACGAAUAGAAGCAAAAAAACUUUGCGUACAUAUGAUUACCUUGGAUUAAUGCUAACUACUUAACUGCCAUGCAUCAACUACCAAAAUUAACAUGCAAACACACGCACGUGCGCGCACAGAGAGAGAGAGAGAGAGAGAGAGAGAGAGAGAGAGAGAGAGAGAGAACAAAAAGAGUAAUAAGGGAACAUAGCAUAUAUGAUUACCUCAAUUAAACUGAUACUAACUCCCUAAUGCUAUGAAACCUAUGAUUGUUCUUUGAUACAAUUUCUACCAAAAACAAAAAACGAGAGAGAGAGAGAGAGAGAGCCCAACAAAGGAUAAUGAGGUGCUCCUCGUUCAAGUUUUUUACUUAUUGGGAGACAUCAAGAUCCUUAUAAAAGAAGCCAUGAAACAAUCUCAAAACUCAAAGAAGCUAAAGAAGAAGAAUAAACUGAUCCCAAUACCUAGAGACAAAUGAAGAAGAUCAGCAGCGUUGGCCUCUGAUAGAAUCUUCACAAUAAUUAUCAUCGCCCCUAUCGCCAACAUCACUACCAUCUUCUUCUUCUUGAUCCUCUCCUCCUCCUCGCCUCCUCCGCCUCCUUCUGCAACCCUACUACAUGUAUAUAUACCAAAUCACACCACCGUUGUAAUUACCAAGAAAUUGAAAAGAAGAUGCAUGCAUGUAUCUGCGUAAAGUUGGUGAUAAGUAGUAAGAAAAAACAUGGGGGGGAUUGAUUAAUUACGAAGAGUUCUCGACGGAGGAAGGAGGCCACAGCGGCAGCAACAGUGGCGGCCACUGCGUCUCCUUCCCCGUGCCGUUAUCUCACCUGGUGCUGUUGCGGGCCUCUCCCACAGGUGUCAAUCUUGGUAUAGCUUGUCGGGCGGGGAGGGCCUCUCCGACCAACUUGGGAAUGAGCGCUACGCCGAGGAAGGCCAGUGCUCCAAUAAGCCCCAACGUUGGCAUCGGCGUAGUCUUCUUCUCCCGUUGCUGGUCUCUGUUGGGUGGGGAUGCCAUGGUCAAGAAUUAGCAAGAGUCCUAUAUAUUCUCUGAUCCUUGGCUAUUCCUCGAUCGACUUACUCGUGUUACUCCUAUCCUUAUAUAUAGCUAACCUGUCGACGGAGGGAGGAGGCCGCAGCAGCAGCAAUGGUGGUCUCUGCUGUUGCGGAGGUAUAGGGUUUUUUAGUGCUUAAAGUAUUACACCAAGAGACGUCAAGUUUGGAACGCUCAACAGUGUUACCUCCAGCGUAGGAAACCCUAGAUUUUUAAAUAAGCUAUUGGGCUCCAGAGAUAUGGGCCUUAAUACGCUUUCACUUAUUGGGCUUGUAUGUGAACAUAUUAUUUGGAUUAUAUUAUAACAAAAUAUCCAAUAAUAAUAAUAUAUCCAACAAUCUUCUCCUAUGUUCACCAUACAGCACAAUCCAAUACAGUGGUCAGUGUAAUGUUCAAACAAUUAUGAAUCAUCCACAUUCAGUCCAAGACAAUCAACUCGGAUUAAAAACUCAAUCAUCAAUUGUAAUUCAAAUGAGUGAAUCAUUCUUAUCAUGAAUCUGUUCUAAGAUCGACAUAUCCAAAAUGAUUCUCAAAAUCAGUUCACAACCAACAUAUGCAUAACAGUCAAAUAUAAGUAGGCCAAUCAAAAUAAUCCAAGGCCUUACAAAUAAAAGAAAAAGACAUAAUAAUGUUCACAAAUAGAGAUAGCCAAAAACAAGUCUUAAGUAAAUGGACUCCAUCAAAACAGGUAAUAGUAGGUGAACUGUCAAGUUCCCGUACACUCUAAAUGAUAUAUAUAUAUUCAUUCAUCAAAUAGAUCAUCAUGAUCUGGAUCUCACUUAUUAAGCUCUCCUCCAUCCCUGCCAUCCUCUGUAGAAUAUCAAAUAUAAAUUUCAUAUUAUCAUGAAUUUAAUCAUUUGAAUAAUCCACUAAAAAUGUCUAGUUUUACUAAAAGAACUUAGCAUCAUGACAUCAGGCAGAGAAGAAUAUAUAUUAAUGUCAUAAAGAAUCAUAAUAUCAUGUUCACAAGUAUCAAGCCAGUUUCAUAAAUUAUGAAUAAAGCCUAAAUAGUUUGAUUUAUAAAGAGCCAUCAACUUAAGUUUGUUUGUAAGAGAAUAAUCAUUGUCUAGUUUCAAAGAACAUGAACAAAACCAACAGGCUUCUUAUGCAUAUAGCUAUUUCUAUGUUUCAAUUUGGAAUGUCACAGUUACUAAUUCUUUUAAGUCAAAUAAUCUAGCAUCAAGUUUGGAAUGAGAUCAUUUAACUAAGAAAAGAAUAGUCCAGCCUAGUUGGAUUGUAUCAUCAAGUUUGGAAUGACACAAGCGUUCCAGGUAGAACUUUGAACUAGGUUAAAGUCAUUUUCAUCAAGUUUGGAAUGAAACAACUCACCUUUUUUCAAAUUAGUCCGCAACCAUGAACAUCAAUGAAACAUAUAAAUUGUGCUUGACCACCAAAGGAAGGAAGAUUCGAUAAUUCAAAACAUACAAUUAGAAAGUAAGUAAAUGGUAAUUAAGACUAAUUUACAUAGUCUUUAACCCCAUUUCCCCCACUGUUUUGAAUAAUCGAUCUUUAGUCAUACCUUUUGUGAGAGUAUCGGCCAUGUUAUCCUUCGAUCUCACAUCGAUCAAGGUGAUAACCCCUUGUUCUCUCAGAUAAUUCAACAACGCACGUCUCAGUCUCACAUGUCUUCUCUUUGAAUUAAAGAAAGCAUUUUUUACAACUUGAACAGUUGCUUGAUUAUCACAGAACAGGCUUAAAGAAUUAAUCUGUAGCCGAGUCAAAGGAAUAUCCAAAAUCAGAUUCUUUAUCCAUUCUGCUUCUUCGCCAGCGGAAGCUAAAGCAAAAAGUUCCGAUUCCAUAGACGACAAGGCAAUACAAGUCUGUCUUUUGGAUUUCCAAGUAAUAGCAGCUCCACCCAAAGUGAAUACAUAUCCACUUGUGGACUUACUAUUUCCAAUUUCUGAGCACCAUGAGGCAUCAGAAUAUCCAUCCACAGUUGGAGGAUAACCAGAAUAACAUAGAGCAUAAUCUUUCGUACCUUUAAGAUAUCUCAUCAGCCUACUAAGGGCAUCCCAAUGCUCUUUACUAGGAUUACUAGUGAAACGACUCAGCAUGCCAACUGUAAAGGCGAUGUCGGGUCUAGUGCAACUCAUAGCAUACAUGAGACUACCAAUCAGUUUUGAGUACUUUAAUUGAUCCACACUGGUCCCUUCAUUAGGACUCAGUCUUUUAUUAUAAUCACAUGGUGUCUCACUCGGUUUACAAUCACUGUAUCCCCAGGUAGAAAGUAGUUGCUCAAUAUAAUGAGUCUGGCUAAGGGAGAUGACUUGCCUUUCAAAUCUAACUUUCAUACCAAGAAUGGUAUUAGCAACACCAAGAUCUUUCACGUCAAAUUCUUUAGCUAAAGUAGCUUUCGCGUCACUCACUACAGAAUGAUUGGAGCCAAGAAUUAACAUGUCAUCAACAUAUAAGCAAAUGAUGACUAUUUUAUUUGACAUAGAACGAUGACAAAGACAUUUAUCUGAAUAGCUAGAUUGAAAGCCAUAACUCUUUACCACUUUGUCAAAUUUAAGAUGCCACAUCUUAGGUGCUUGUUUAAGACUGUACAAAGAUUUAUUCAAUUUACAAACUUUGUCCUCAAGAUCUUUCAUGACAAACCCUUCCGGUUAUUCCAUGUAGAUUUCUUCAUUUAACUCUCCAUUUAGGAAAGCUGUCUUUACAUCCAUUUGAUGCACUACAAAGUGUUCAAUAGAUGCCAAAGCAAGAAGAAUUCUCAUAGUUGAUAGAUGACACACAGGUGAAUAGACAUCAAAAUAGUCUAUUCCACUCUGCUGUUUAUUCUGUCACGCCCCGGGACCCAGCGGAAGCCCGCCCGGCGCGAGCCCAGACCCGCCAUAUGUCUAAAACAUACAAGGCGUCUAAAACAAAACGAUAAAUAAGGCAAGAAGAACGAGAACAUCUAGCUGUAUCAGAGCAAAGUGUAUUUAGAGGCUACAAUAAAAGAAAUAAACAUAAAGUCGAAAGUCCACUAAAUAAAAGCAUGAAGUAGUACAAAAAAAAUCCCAAAUACAAAUGCUAAACAUAAAAACAUGGGUGGUCUCUAUAUAUGGUAACAAAACUCUCUCUCUCACAAAAACCAAAAAGAAGAGAGUGACCACCUAGGAGCAACAGCAAGCUCCGCUAUCCAGCUACGCGACUCCCUUGCCGCGAUCCCGUGCCUCCGCUAGUGCCGAAGGCUCUGAAAUAAAACCACGAAACAGGGGUCGUGAGAACUAUUGAAUAAUAGUUCCCAGUGGGUAAUUACUGACUUUAGUGAAAUGCGCCACUAGGCCCAAAAGAUACAAAAAGGGGUCAGUGUAUAAGUAUAACAAAAGCGAUAAGUACAACUAGUAAAUAAACAUGAAUACCUGCUACCACAAGAUAUUUCUACUUAGCAUGAUUUUGCUUAAGUAAUAAAAAGGCUACACUAGCAUGAAUGUACCAAAUCAUCACUAGUAUGAUGUCCAUAAGCUAAAUAGUAAAGAUGUCCUUGUUUACUAUUAUAGUCAAUGUCCACAUGGCAUGAUGAAUGCUCAAAGUCAAAUCUGAAGAGACCCGCCCGAAGGCUGUCUGGCCCUGAGACCCACCCGUAGGCUGUUUGGCCGAUGCCGAGCCUAAUGGCCCCGUAGUAGUCAACAUCCCCACUUUAGGAAUGAGCCUUUCCCACGGCAAUCCACUUCGGCGCCCAAUCCCGCACGGCGAAUAUGUAUCGCGAUGGCCAUCUCCGGAGUGCCGGCUUGUAGGGAGCGACCCUCACAAGCAUAUGCGAAUGAGCACAAUGGCAAGUAACGUAAGAUCCGUCUCAAGUACCAAGUCCUCAUGUCUAACAACAUGGAAUGUCACAUAUCUCAAUGGCCUAUAUCUAAGUCAUCAUGUCUAAAACAUGAAAGUAAUAGAUAUCAAAGGCCUAUCACUAUGUCUCAUUAUAGCAGUUUCAUAGUUUGCUAGUCCAAGUGCCCCUUUAUGACACUUUUGGUCACUAAGUCCAAUUAUAGUGUAGUGUUUACAAUUACACAAUUAUGAGUUAACAUAAGGGACAUGAUUCCCAUUGCUAUCUCGAACACUUCUCACAUGCAUAAAAAUUACCCAGUAUGCUCUACUAUAUAGAGUGAAAUUUAUCUUACACAUAGCACAUGCAUUUUAAGUGUUCUAAAAUUCACAUAAAUCCUAUCUAGUAUGGAUUUGCAUUCAAAUUGACGUUACGACAAGUAUAGAAUACAUAGGGGCUAUUUCGCCCCGAUUUUAUGAAGUCAAACCUACCCCAACUCUUGCGCUCCUUCGUUUGCUCCAACGAAGGUGUCCACUAGUCUCCUAGCACCCUAAAGAUGUAGGAACAAGAGUUAAACGAACCUUACGAACAACCAUAAGGUUGAUCAUUAACCAUCUCAAGCUAAGGUGGAGAAAAACUCACCAAGUGUGAAGGAAGCUCUCUCGAUCUCCAAAUGGGAGUUAGAGCCCUUCCAAUCCAACCUAAACCAAGGUUCUAAACCCAUCAAUUAGGUCUCAAAGCCCUCAAAUCGGAAAUCCCCAAAAUAAACCCUAAAAUCCAAAUCUAGGGUUUCAUUUAGUAAAAAGCUCCAAAACUAGGAUCUAGAGGAGAGAAACUAGCCACAUACCUCUAGGAUGCUCCAAACCAAGCUCAAAACCCUCAAGGAUGGGAGUUUGAUCCUCCACAAAGCUCCAAGUCCAAGCUCCAAGCCUCAUAUGAGAGAAAGGGUUGAUGCUCCAAGCUCCCUCAAGCAAGCUCUUUCUCUUCUCCUUCUUCAUCUUCUUCUUCUUCUCUUUCUAGAGGUAUGAGAGAGUGAGAAGUGAGGGAAAGAUAGAGGGAAAAUGGCUCUAAAAGCCCUCUCGUGUAACAAAAUCCAUUUAGGUCCCUCAACAAUCCAAUCUGUGCAUCAGCUCGAACUGGGCAAUUUUCGCCCAGAGGGACUGGUCUCUCCCAGCUGGGACCGGUCCCUCAGGACCCUCCCGCAAAACAAGCUCUCGGGAACCGGUCUUUCCCUGCCAGGGACCGAUUGCCUCAAGAUCUGCCGCACCACUGUUCCGGGGGGACCGGUCUCUCCCUGCCAAGGACCAAUCCCCGAGAGUAAAAACUCUCAGGACUUAACCAAAAUUCAGAAUUCGAACUUUUAGGUCAGAAUACCAUCUACGACCCUCCACCAAGUGUGGAAAAGCUCGGAAUCCAAGUCAAGCACUCGAACCUCGCAAUUUGCAAUGGUCCAAUGUGUUACAUUCACCCCUCCUAAAAAGAAGUUUCGUCCACGAAACUCAAAAGCAACAACAUACCUCAAAGUUCCAUCUGAAAAAGAUAGGGAUAGCGCUCCUGCAAAACGCUCUCCAGCUCCCACGUGGCCUCCCGCUCCCCGUGGUUGCUCCAAAGAACCUUCACAUACGGAAUAUCCUGAUUCCGCAGUUUUCGCACCUCGCGAGCCAAGAUCCUCACUGGUAGCUCCUCGAAGGUCAGAUCAUCCUGCAACUCCACAAGUGUAGCAUCCAACACAUGAGUCGGGUCGAAGAUAUAUUUUCGAAGGACCGAUACAUGAAAGACGUUGUGCACGCCCGAUAGGUUCGGUAGUAGAGCAAGUUUAUACGCUACCGGACCUACACGCUCCAAAAUCUCAUACGGUCCAAUGAAACGGGGGCUCAACUUACCCCGAAUCCCGAAUCUCCUGAUCCCUCUAGCCGGCGAGACCUUCAAGAAUACAUGGUCUCCAACUUGGAACUCCAAGUCUCGCUACUGUCGAUCGGCGUAGCUCCUCUGUGUACUCUGCGCCGUCAAAAGUCGCUCCCGAGCAAUUCGAACCUUGUCUUCAGCUUCCUGGAGCACGUCAGGGCCUAAAGCCAAUCUCUCGCCUACUUCACUCCAAUGGAGUGGCGAUCUACACUUCCGUCCAUAAAGUGCUUCGAACGACGCCAUCUUGAUGCUUGCUUGAUAAUUGUUGUUAUAAGCAAACUCCGCCAUAGGUAGGUGCUGCGACCAUCCGCCCUAAAAGCCUAUCACACAUGCUUGGAGCAUAUCCUCUAAAGUCUGUAUGGUGCGCUCCGACUGCCCGUCACUCUGAGGGUGGAAAGCAGUGCUGAAGUCCAGUCGAGUGCCCAGAGCGUCUUGUAGACUCCUCCAAAAAUAAGACACAAACCAAGUGUCUCGAUCCGAUACGGUCGAUGUAGGUACUCCAUGAAGUCGCACAAUCUCAUCAAGGUACACUUGUGCGAGCUUCUUCCCGGUCCAAGUAGUAUGAAUAGGUGUGAAGUGCGCCGACUUCGUCAACCUAUCUACGAUCACCCAAAUGGUAUCAUGCCCGGCCUGAAAGCGAGGCAAUCCUGUCACAAAAUCCAUGGUGAUCUCUCCCACUUCCACACGGGAAUAGGUAAACUCUGAAGUUUUCCUGCAAGUAAUCGGUGCUUAGCAUUUACUUGUUGGCAAGUUAGACAACGAGCUACAAACUCGUCAACAUCAUUUUUCAUCCCGGACCACCAGUAGAGUAACUUUAAAUCCUUGUACAUCUUGGUGCCUCCCGGAUGUAUAGCAUACGGUGCUCGGUGCGCUUCCUGCAAAAUAUCCUCUUUAAUUCCCGGAUCCGCCGGUACACAAAUCCGUCCGCGGAAACGCAUCAAUCCUUAGUCAUCCACAAGGAAGUCACCGGUGUAACCAUCAACCAUUUUAUCCCGAAUCUUUUGCAACUCCACAUCGGAAGCUUUCUUUUCUUUAAUUCGAUCCAAAAGAGUAGGUUGCACCACCAAAGUCAUCAAUCUCAAAGGUGUAUCUGGAGUCACCACUUCCAACUCCAACCGCUUUAUCUGCUCGAUCAACUGCGGUUGAGUAACCACGUGCAUCGCUAAGUUUUCCGUCGAUUUCCUACUUAGCACAUCCGCCACCACGUUAGCUUUGCCCGGGUGGUAAAGGAUUGUAAGAUCAUAGUCCUUGAGCAGCUCCAACCAUCUGCGCUGCCUCAAGUUCAACUCCUUCUGAGUGAACACAUACUUUAAGCUCUUGUGAUCCGUAUAUACUUCGCACUGCUCGCCAUAUAAGUAGUGGCGCCAUAACUUCAAUGCGAAGACCACGGCCGCCAACUCUAAAUCAUGCGUAGGAUAGUUCUUUUCAUAUUCCUUCAGUUGGCAAGAAGCAUAAGCGAUCACCUUGCCAUCCUGCAUCAAAACGCAGCCCAAUCCAGUAAGAGAUGCAUCACUGUAAACCACAUACCCUACUCCAGCAACUGAUAGGGUUAGGAUCGGGACGGUCGUCAGUCGUUGCUUCAACUCUUGGAAGCUUCUCUCGCACGCGUCAUUCCAGAUGAACUUGACACCUUUAUGCGUGAGCCUCGUGAGGGGAGUAGAUAGCUUAGCAAACCCCUCGACAAAUCUCCGGUUAUAACCGGCCAAUCUAAGAAAACUGCGAAUCUCCGUGACGCUCGUCGGUCUCGACCAAUCCUUGAUAGCCUCAAUCUUCUUAGGAUCCACGACUAUACCCGAUCCCAAUAUUAAAUAUCCAAGGAAGGCUACCUCUCGAAGCCAAAAUUCACACUUUCUCAGCUUAGCAUAAAGCUCCUUUUUCCGAAGUAUUUGAAGUACAAGCCUCAAAUGUUCCUCAUGAUCUGCAUCACUUCGGGAAUAAACCAAAAUCUCGUCGAUAAACACCACAACGAACCUGUCCAAAUAAGGCUUGAAAACACGGUUCAUCAGAUCCAUAAAAGCUGCCGGGGCAUUAGUAAGCCCGAACGGCAUAACUGUGAACUCAUAAUGUCCAUACCGUGUUCUAAAAGCCGUCUUCGAUACAUCCUCAGGUUUGAUCUUCAACUGGUGGUAUCCCGACUGCAAGUCUAUCUUGGAAUACACACACGAUCCUUGAAGCUGAUCAAACAAGUCGUCGAUCCUCGGCAAUGAAUACUUAUUCUUGAUCGUGACUUUAUUAAGUUCACGAUAGUCCACACAUAGGAGAAGUGAUCCGUCCUUUUUCUUGACGAACAAAACUGGCGCUCCCCAUGGCGAAACACUCGGUCGAAUGAAACCCUUGUCCAGUAGAUCCUGUAGGUAUGCCCUCAGCUCUUUUAGCUCCGCCGGGACCUUGCCAUCCUAUAGGUGCCUUCGAGAUUGGAGUAGUCCCAGGGACGAGAUCUACCACAAACUCGAUCUCCCUAUCGGGAGGCAUACCAGGUAGCUCAGCUGGAAACACGUCCUGAAACUCUCGUACCAUCGGGAUAUCCUCAAUCCUAGGGGUAUCAUCCUCGCUCCUCAGCACAACACUAGCCAAAUAGGCUACACAUCCUCGGCUGAUCAGCUACCUAGCACGAGACGAGCUAAUCGACAUCACAAAAAGUGAACUCUGGCAUCCUCUAAACAUCACCUUAGUCUGCCCCGGUUCUCUAAAAGUAACCGUGCGAUUCAUUACAAUCGAUCGUGGCAUAGUACUUGGUUAGCCAAUCUAUACCCAAGACCAUAUCGAAAAUCUCCCUAACUUGCGCAAAGCUAGCAAGUCCACGGGCAUGAAUCGAAUCUCCUACCCGAACAGGGCAACUAGGGGCUAAUACUCUCUAAUAUCCAAAGAUGUGGUUGGGGACAACCAACACGUCCCGGAUGCAACAACAGAAACCAUACGGGAUGCCAUGCAACUCGGCAAACAGCCGAUCUAUAAAUGAAUGCGAUCCACCGGUAUCAAAUAAACCACGAACUCUAAUGCCAUCAAGUAAAAUGAUACCUGCAACCACAUCCUCGGCUGCUGCCGCCUCCUCGGUCUGAGCGGCAUACAUAGCGCCCACUUGGGGCCUGUCGAAAUCCCUCGCUCUGGCGCUGGACGGGUGGCCGCCCAGGCUUGGUACUGUGUCCGACAGGAGUCCCGUGGCUAGCGGCUGGUAGAGCCGGUGCCGAUGCAGUCGACGGUGCUGGUGAAAGAACCUCUCGGGCACUCAGGUCCGAACGUGGCCCUCCUGGCCACACUGGAAGCACCUGCCCGCCCGCUGUGGACACUGCGGUGGGUAGUGAGGGACCACCGCAGAUCACACACGGGAAAGGCCGGGGACCGGUCAGGAACCUCCUCGAGGUGCUGCUGAGCCGCGUCCACGCUGCUGGCUCCUAGGAAGCUUUGGCGGCCUCCUAGAGUGCGUCUGGCUCGCACCCUCAGCCGCAGGCCUCUUGGCCUUACCCUUGUCCAUAGCCUCUUGCCGCUCCUGGACAUCCGUCGCGCCGCUCUCCCCAAUGAGUGCGCGAUCCACUACCUCCCGGUAGGUUUGGAGGUUAGAGGAUUGCACGAAACCGGAAAAUAGACGGUCGCAACCCUUGCUCGAAGAUGCGGGCCUUAUCCUCGUCGUCCCGCACGACGAAAGGGCACGCAGUGUAGAAGCCGAGAAAACUCCCUCUCAUACUCGGCUACAGGUCCGGUCUCCUUGGCGCAAGUUGCGCAAGUCCUGCUCCAUCUUCCUUUUGACGCUGGUCGGAAAGUAGUGCGCCAGAAGAAGCUCCUUGAACCUCGUUCCAAGAUAUAGAUGCCAAGUCAGUGCUGGGGUGCUCCUGAAAAUCCAACCACCAGCGGUAGGCCUCGCCGUCCAAGGUGGUGAGUGGCGAGCCAAACUCUGUCCCUCUUCCUCCACGAAGGUGUCGCGAAAGAGCUUCUCCAUAUGCAUCAACCACUUCUCCACGAUCCAGUGGUCGACCUUCUCGCCAUCGAAAAAUCCGGGGACUGCACCUCCUGAACUCAUUGAGGCGCUCCAUCAGUCUGGUCUCCGCUCCGCCCCCUCCACCAAAGGUAGGGAAUGCAGCUCCAAUCGGGGGCCUCUGCACAGGUGGUGCCGCCAAAACCUCCUCCUGGGGUGCGGCCGCAGGCGCCGGCACGCGAAGAACUAGGGCGCGGGGGACGGCGCUCUCGGUGCAACGUCCACAACUGGUGCUGGCGGUGUAGGGGCCUGAGUCUCCCUAGGAAGCUGCCGCCUGCUGCAAUAGUAAGGUCCUCCAGACGCUUCAUCCGCGCCUCCUGUCGGCGCGCCGCCUCGGUCUGCUGUCGGGCCGCCUCCGCCUGCUGAGUGACCAAAUGAGUGAGGGCCGCAAGCUGGCCCCUCAACUCACGGACCUCGCUGGAAUCCGGAGGUAGCGGAGGUCUCGACCUCCUCGAAGUUUGCCGCAUUGUCCGCCCCGGCAGAUUGGGAGCGAGUAAUCGGCCAUCGUCACUACAACAUCAUAAAAGCGUAAGUUAGUAACCUCACGCUAUCGCAUCCCAACUCAAAAGACAAACCCAAAUCAUGUGAAAGUAAGGAAGUGUGCUAUCCACAACUAACUCCCGAUGUUACGUUGUCGGCCGCCAACGUAACCCUCCGCGAAGUUAGAAGUCCAAACACUCCGAUCAACUCUAACUUUUUAGAGUUAUCAUAAUACCCAAUCAUGAUACUUUCGCUCACAAGUCGAAAUAGACCUCGUCUCUCACGAGCCUAUUUCCCUAUAGUCCAACCGGCCUAAGGUUUGCUAGGUCCCCUAAGACUCAACCCUAGGCUCUGAUACCAAAUUAAUCUUGUCACGCCCCGGAACCUAGCGGAAGCCCGCCCGGCACGUGCCCAGCCCCGCCAUACGUCUAAAACGUAUAAGGCGUCUAGAAACAAAACGAUAAAUAAGGCAAUAAUAAACGAGACAUCUAGGAGUAUCAGAGCAUAAUAAAUGUCUAAAUGGCUACAACAAGGGAAAUGAACAUAAAGCUAUAAAUCCACUAGAUAAAACAUAAAGUGUACAAGAAGAAUUCCAGAAUACAAGUGCUAUAACAUAGAUAACAUAGGGUGGUCUCUAUACAUGGUAACAAAACUCUCUCUCACAAAAAUCAAAAAGAAGAGAGUGAACCACCUAGGAGCAACAGUAACCGCUCCUCGCUAGCUAGCUAAGCGACUCCCUUGCCGCGAUCCCGUGCCUCCGCCGGUGCCGAAGGCUCUGAAAAGGAAACCAUAAAACAGGGGGCGUGAGAACUAUUAAUAAUAGUUCCCAGUGGGCAAUUACUGACUUCAGUGAAUGCACCACAAGGCCCAAAGCUACAAAAGAUGGUCAGUGUAUAAGUAUAACAAAAGCGAAAGGUACAACUAGUAAAUAAACAUAAAUACCUACUACCACAUGAUAUUUCUACUUAGCAUGAUUUUGCAUUAAGUAUAAAAAGCAACUAUGCAUGAAGUACCAAAGUCUCCAACUAGUCAUAAUGUUCCACAAUGCGAAAUAGUAAAGUUCCGUUGUUUACUAUUCUAGUCAAUGUCCACAUGGUCAUGAUCUGUCCAAUGCUCAAAGUCAAAUCUGAAGAAGACCCACCUGAAGGCUGUCUAUGGCCCUGAGACCCACCCGUAGGCUGUCUGGCCGAUGCCGAGCCUAAUGGCCCCGUGGUAGUCAACAUCCCCACUCUAGGAAUGAGCCUUUCCCACGGCAAUCCACUUCGGCGCCCAAUCCCGCACGGCGAAUAUGUAUCGCGAUGGCCAUCUCCGGAAUGCCGGCUUGUAGGGAGCGACCCUCACAAGCAUGUGCGAAUGAGCACAAUGGCAAGUAACGUAAACGAUCCGUCUCAAGUACCAAGUCCUCAUGUCUAACAAUAUGGAAUAUGCCACAUAUCUCAAUGGCCUAUCUCUAAGUAAUCAUGUCUAAAACAUGGAAGUAAUAGAUAUCAAAGGCCUAUCACUAUGUCUCAUUAUAGCAGUUUCAUAGUUUGCUAGUCCAAGUGCCCCUUUAUGACACUUUUGGUCACUAAGUCCAAUUAUAGUGUAGUGUUUACAAUUACACAAUUAUGAGUUAACUUAACAUAAGGGACAUGAUUCCCAUUGCUAUCUCGAACACUUCUCACAUGCAUGAAAAUUACCCAGUAUGCUCUACUAUAUAGAGUGAAAUUUAUCUUACACAUAGCACAUGAAUUUUAAGUGUUCUAAAAUUCACAUAAAUCCUAUCUAGCAUGGAUUUGCAUUCAAAUUGACGUUACGACAAGUAUAGAAUAUAUAGGGGCCAUUUCGCCCCGAUUUCAUGAAGUCAAACCCACCACAACUUUUGCGCUCCUUCGUUUGCUCCAACGAAGGUGUCCACUAGUCUCCUAGCAACCUAAAGAUGUAGGAACAAGAGUUAAACGAACCUUACGAACAACCAUAAGGUUGAUCAUUAACCAUCUCAAGCUAAAGUGGAGAAAAACUCACCAAGUGUGAAGGAAGCUCUCUCUAUCUCCAAAUGGGAGUUAGAACCUUUCCAAUCCAACCUAAACCAAGAUUCUAAACUCAUCAAUUAGGUCUCAAAGCCCUCAAAUCGAAAAUCCCCAAAAUAAACCCUAAAAUCCAAAUCUAGGGUUUCAUCUAGUAAAAAGCUCCAAAACUAGGAUCUAGAGGAGAGAAACUAGCCACAUACCUCUAGGAUGCUCCAAACUAAGCUCAAAACCCUCAAGGAUGGGAGUUUGAUCCUCCACAAAGCUCCAAGUCCAAACUCCAAGCCUCCAAUGGUGAAGAAAGAGAUAAAGGGUUGAUGCUCCAAGCUCCCUCAAGCAAGCUCUUCCUCUUCUCCUUCUUCUUUCUCUUCUUCUUCUUCUUCUCUUUCUAGAGGUGUGAGAGAGUGAGAGAGUAAGAAGUGAAGGAAAGAGAAGGGAAAUGGCUCUAAAAGCCCUCUCAUGUAACAAAAUCUAUUUAGGUCCCUCAACAAUCCAAUCUGUGCAUCAGCCCGAACUGGGCAAUUUUCGCCUAGAGGGACCGGUCUCUCCCAGCUGGGACCGGUCCUUCAGGACCCUCCCGCAAAACACGCUCUCGGGAACUAGUCUUUCCCUGCCAGGGACCGGUUGCCUCAAGUCCCGCCGCAACACUGUUUCGGGGGGAACCGGUCUCCCCCACCAGGGACCGAUCCCCGAGAGUAAAAACUCUCAGGACUUAGCCAAAUUUCAGAAAUCGAAUUUUUAGGUAGGAAUACAGUCUACGACCUUCCACCAAGUGUGGAAAAGCUCGGAAUCCAUAUAAAGCAUUCGAACCUCGCAAUUUGCACAGGUCCAGUGUGUUACAUAGCCUUUAGCUACUAAACGUGCUUUGUAUCUAGCUAUUGAUCCAUCACUAUUCAGUUUCUUUUUCAAUACCCACUUACAGCCUAUAGCCUUAGCCCCUUUUGGCAAAUUGACUAGCUGCCAAGUAUGGUUCUGCAACAGAGAGCUCAUGUCAUCAUCUAUGGCUUCUGUCCACAGUAGGGAUUCCCUAGAUCUCAUUGCUUCUUGAUAAGAAAAUGGAUCAUCCUCUAAAUGGUAAGUAACAAAGUUCUCACCAAAACUUUUGGGAACUCUCUCUCUUGUAGAUACUCUAAUUGGAACUGAUUCAACAGCCAGCUGUGUGGGAUUAGUGUCAGAAGGGCCUGCUUCAGAUUCUAUAAGAGAUUCCGAAAUCAUAUCUAUAGAUCUAGAAACAUUCAAGCCAUGAUCUCUGAGAAACUUAUUCUCGAAGAAUUCUGCAUCUCUAGAUUCUAUCACUGUGUUAGUAGAUAGAUCUAAAAACCUAUCUGCAGCACUAUCUUCUGCACUACCUAGAUAUACACAGGUAAUGGUUCUAGGUCCCACCUUAGGUCUCUUUGGAUUUUGUAUUCUUACAUAAGCAACACAACCCCAGGUCUUAAGAAUAUCAUAUCUACAAGGACGCUUAUGCCAUAUCUUAUAAGAUGUCAUAGACAACUUAGAGUGUGGCAACCUGUUCAGGAUGUGAUUAGCAGUUAGAACUGCUUCUCCACAAUAGGAAGAAGGCAUGCCAGUUGUAAGUAACAUAGAAUUUAACAUUUCAGUUAACGUUCUAUUCUUACGCUCGGCAACACCAUUUGAUUGGGGUAAGGAGCAGUUGUUUCAAGUAUUAUGCCCUCUGAAGCACAAAACCUUGAACCCUGUCAUUGUAUAUUCUCCUCCUCUAUCACUCCUAAACCUCUUAAUUUUCAAGUUGAGUUGAUUUUCUAUUCUAGACUUGAAAAUCUUAAACUUUUCAAAAGCCUCAUCUUUCAAUUUCAACAAAUAGACACCACAAUAUCUAGAAAAAUCGUCCAUGAAUGUUAUCAGAUACUUCCGACCACCUCUAGUGACGUAAUUUCUAAAAUCACAGAGGUCAGAAUGUAUUAGCUCAAGAAGUGUGCUUUUAGAAACCGAAUUAAAAGGUUUUCUACUGAUCUUAGCUUGUGCACACACUUCACAUUUGUCAAAUCGAAUAGAAGUAUAUAAUGGAAUGUUGUGAGUUUUAGCUAGAUGUUGCAUUUUCCUGUAGUUCACAUGUCCAAGUCUAUUGUGCAACAACUUUGGAUCAAUCAGAGUAGAACUCACAUGGUUUAUGCUAUCAGUAUCUAAACUCAACCUAUACAUACCAUUAACCAUGAAUGCACAACCGAAAUAACAUGAGUGAACAGAUAAGUUUACUCUACCAUUCAUAGUUGAAAAGGACAUACCAGCUUUAUCAAGUUCAUAGAUAUCAAAUUCCUUUUAAAUAAAGAUACUACUCUAACAUGUUUCAGAGUUAGUAAUCUACCUGAAGAAAGCACCAAAUUUGCAGUUCCAGCAUGAGUCACUUCUGCCUCACCACCAUUGCAAUUUUCCACGAUGUCUUUCACUUCUGUGACCUCUGUGAGUAGGUUCUUGUUAUUUGCAGCAUGAUAAGUAGUGCCACUAUCCAACCACCACUCAGAAGAAAUACUAGCCUUUCCAAUUUUCAUCGUUCCAAUGAAGGCUUGAGGCUCAGAUUCACUAAUUAGCAUAUUAGCCUCACUUUGUGGUCUGUUAUUCUUUGGCUUCUUUGGUAGUUUACACUCUGCUACCCAGUGACCCCACUUUCCACAGUUAUGGCACUUUCCCUUCUUCUUCCUUUUGGAGAUAGUCUUUUUGGCCUCUAACUGUGAAGAAGAUUCACCUUUUGGUGACUUGGACCUUUUCUGAGGUUUAUUGAAGUGUGAAACUAAGUUGGCAACUGACUUUUGUUGUCCUACUUGUUCUAAACUCUUUCUAGUGCUGUUUUGAUCCUCAAUAUGAAUAUCUCUUUAGUUCAUCCAGUCCCAUCUGUUCUUUCAAUCUGUGCAUUUCAGUCUUGAAAGAAUUCCAUUCAGCAGGUAGCUUACUCAAUACAAGACCGACAAAGAGAUUAUCGGACAUAUCAGAUUUAUCAUCUUUCAGCUUGUUCCUCAUAUUCUCAAGUUAAAUUAACUGAGAGGUGAUGCUUGAAUUCAUAUUGAACUUAAAGUCAAAGAAUUUCUCCGCUAGAAAAGUUUUAGAGAGCCCCUCUUGUUUUUGGAACUGAACGUUCAAGUGAUCCUAUAUCUCUUUCGCUGUCUUAUACUCACUGUAAGUCAUAGCUAGACGAGGAUUUAGAGAGUUCAACAAGUAAUCUCUACAAAAGUCUUCAUCCUUGUUCCAUUGAUAUUCAUCCACAUCUUCAAUGGUAGAUGCAAAAUCACUCAAAAUAGUGUAGAAUAUUUCACAUUCUUUCAUGCCAAAUUGAACAUGUAAUUUCCAACCAUGAAAUUCAAUGACAUCAAAUGAUUGCAGCUUUAUAAUAUCAUAAGAACUACGCUUUGCCAUUUAAUCAGAGCAAAGUGUUAGAAAGAGUGCACCUUGUAGUCCUCAGAGCUCACAAAGUCGAAUAAAGCCCCUGACCUGAAUCAAACUGCUCAGUAGAGGUGGAAUUUGCCAAAAACAGACCCAAAAAUGGAUCCGUAGUGCCCAAAAACCUUAAGGGGAAGUUUGGAUUGACGAAUCUGUAGAUCCAACAUAAGUCAAGUGUAGUGGUGUUUGAGUUUCCCUGAAGUGUGAUUAUUUUUUUGUUGUUUGUUUUGACGUAACCCGUACGGUCUGAAAGUUAAAUUCAAUUACUUCUUCUGUUUGUUUUGAUGUAACUUGGUGCUGGUAAAAUUAGUUUUUUGAGUUCCGUUGUUUGUUUUGAUGUAAGUGGAUCCUAUUAUCUCCUAAAUAUAGUAGUAAAUUUACCACUAUAAAAUUUAACCUAUUAUAUAAUUAAAUUUUUUAUUAUUAUUUAAAGGUAAUCCUAAUUUAUUAUAAAUAAGGUAAUUCUAACCCAUUAUAAAGGAAGUAGAGUUUAGGUUUUACUGUUUAAUUAAUUUUUUAGAGGAGGUUGAGUGUGGUGGAAGUCGAGUUCGGCACUUUAGAGGAGGAAGUCGAGAGUAGGUAAAGUGGAGCUCUAACGUAACUUGAGUUACAUUAUAUUUUUCACUUACACCAAAACAAAUAACGGAAGUGAUGGAACUUGAGUUCCAUCACUCCACUUACAUCAAAGCAAACGGGCCCUAAGAUGAACUGCCCUCGUUGCCGGAAACUGCUGAAAACUUUCGAUUGCCGUAACUGCGUCGUCCGACCUCCGUUCGAGACGAGUGACCACUCAAAACGUUCGUAUCGACGAGUAGAACAGAACCCAAGUGGUUUCACCCUCCGAAAUUGGCUAUAAUUUUUGGGUUUUUGAAUCAAAGAUUUCGGCCGCCUGACUUUCAAACUCAGAUCCCGGCCAAUCCGACUGUCGAAAUCGAAAGUAAAUUAUACCUGUGAGUUCACAUGUUGACGAGAUCUUCAAAUAGACACCUUACUCGCUCAGAUCCGACAUGCGAUCAUAAUACUUCAAGAUUGUUGGAGGUUAUGGGUUUUUGAGAAUAGAUGGCGUUUCAGGGUGCUUGAAGUAUUACAUCAAGAGACAUCAAGUUUGGAAUGCUCAACAGUGUUACCUCCAGCUUAGGAGAACCCUAGGAUUAAUAAGUAAGCUAUUGGGCUCCAGUUGAUAUGGGCCCUAAUACGCUUUCACCUAUUGGGCUUGUAUGUGAACAUAUUAUUUGGAUUAUAUAACAAUAUAUCCAACAGGAUUUGGGCCUUAAGACUUCAAUUCAGAGUCUGGAACACCCUCUAAUGAUUGAAGACCUUUGCAUGAUUGAGAAGCAAUGUGGGAUCCUUCUUCUGGAGGAUCUCAUUUCAAAAGCAGCAUUAACGCAAGGCUGCUCGCCAUUUGGCACUUGAUGGUUGUCCCAUAAGUAGUAGAGCAGUUGCUUAUCUUUUUUCAUGUGUGUACUAUAGCAUUUGUGAGCUUUUAUUUGAGGAUUUGAUGUGAGGUACGAGUUAAGUUUCAAGAAUGAAACUUUUUGUAAGGAGGAGGAUGUAGUCUUCUAAAAAAUUUAAUUGUCGGAACAACUACAGUAUCAGUAACAGGUCGACACUUUUGUAGAAUAUUGGGACGAGUUGCAAUCGUUUGGACAUAAAAUUGACGCUACAAACGAACCCGAAAUGUGAGUAAAAUUCAGCUGGAAUAUUUUAUGUUGUGUUGUACCUAGUGUGUGACUCACCUCCCUCCAACCACCCUUAAUUGGGGAUUUUGUAGGUUAGCGAAUCAACUGAAUUAUACCUAUCUUCUUCUCCUCUCUUCUUCUAAGUCUUCUUCUUCUUUUCCUCCUCCGGUCCUCCCUCUCUCCCAGCUGAACUUCAUGCGCAUUGCUGCUAGCAGCAGCAUUGCUGCCAGCUACUGCAGCAGCAAGGAAGCUACAAAAGCAGCAGCAGCAGGGAAAUUGCAGCAGCUGCAGGGGAGUUUCAGCCAUCUUCUUAUUCUUUUGCUUCUUCUCCUACACCAUUGGUAGCUGCAGCAGGAGAAGUAGCAGCAGGAGGUGCUGCCAGCAACUGCAGCAUGUGCUGCCAGCAGUGGCAACCUCAAUGUGGGUUGAAUUUGAGUGAUUGGUGACCUCAACUUCGAAAUUGUGAUUCUUGGGGAGAAUAAGGGAGUAGGGGAGCUCAGUUUGGACUCUUUUCCUAGCUGAAGUUAGAGAGGUAUGUAUGAAUGAGACUUGAGUGAACAUGAAGUUUGAGCUGAAAUUCCAGCAUUGUUGGAUUUUCUAGGGUUCUUUUGAUCCAAUUCUUGAAUCUAAAUUGUUGGCAGCAAAAUUGGGUUCUUGGUGAUGUUCUAGGGAGGGAGAGGAUCUAGUGGAUUUCUUUCUUCAUCUAAAUUUCAGGUAUAUUAGUAGUUAAUUGCUGAAGUUAGUAUGCUGAAAUUUGAUGUCUUGUGGAAAUUGAUGGAUUUCUUUGAUUUUUCGACUUCGAUUUCUUCUAGUGAAUUAAUUGGGGGAUUCUUUCUGGUCCUUGCUUCAAUUCCAGCUGUUUUGAGGUUGCACCCAACUGAACUUUAAGGUACAGUGAUCCAAUUGUUAAGUUAAUUCAGUUCCGAAGUUGAAGUUGCAUUUCGUUAAAUUUUUCUUGACUCCAAUCUUGAUUUCAGCAUAUCCCUGGUUGGAGAGAAAAAAAAGAACCCCUUUUUUCCCCUUGUUCUUUCUCACUUGAAUUGUCAACUAGGAGCUUGGAAUUGUAAUGAAUUCCAGCAUUGGAUAAGUGAAUUCAGAAAUUGAUGAAGUUUGACCAUUGAACUAAAUUAGCUCCUUCCCGCCUGCUUGUGAGGUCUUUUCCUUUGAAUUCUUGCCGAAUUUGAAGCUGAGGAAGAUACGUUGGUGAUUGAAUCCUUGCUGUGGUUGGAUUAGCACACAAGGCGGGUUUAAUUUUCCAAAAUUGAUGGAAUUUCCAUUAUGUUUACUAAACUUUCAGCAUGAAUGCUAUUGUUUGUUCAAAGUUAUUUAUUCUAGCUUAGAAUCACUAGAAUAUCGUUUGAAAUGCUGAAAUCUGAAUAUAGAACAUGUUAACCUGCAUGUAAUGAUUUUUUAUGCUGAAAUUAGAUGGAAACAGUAGUGAAAUCUGCACUUUUUAGCGUAGAGUUGUUCAGUUCUUAUGAGGUUUUCUCUUAUAGUUUGGUUUCAAUAGUUGCUUGAUUGUAUUAUUAUUAUUAUUAUUAGAUUCGUUUUUAGGUUCACCGCUCUGCUGACUUUGGCAUGGGGCGAUGAGUUUACAUUGUGGUCAUGUUUGGUUCACUCUUUAUUAACCGUAGAAUCGGAAUAUCCAUUCCGAUUCUAGACGUUUGGUAUAGUGUAAUCCCAUUGCGAUUCCAUUUCCGCUCCAGAAUGUGAAUCCACUAAUCCGGAUAAAAACCAAUCCAGCCUCGGAUCCCGGAUUAAAGCUUGACUCCAAUAUCAUACGAUAAAAAAUUAAAAAAAUAAUAAUAAAAAACUUCGUGGCGAAAAAACCUCUGCGCUCGCCCCGGCCAUCCCUCUUAACCCUCUCGUAAGCAACUUCUCCCCGGCCAAUCUCUCUUUCUCUCUCUCUCUCUCUGUCUCCGACCGUCGUCUCUCAAAUCAUCGUCAUCUCUCUCUCUUCUUUACUAUUCUUUCUCGCUUCUCUACUAUUUUUAUUCUCAAAAGUAAAUCAAUUUCUUUCUCUAUUGUCCGAAAAUUGAAUCUUUUUCUUUGAGGUCAACAUCACAUAGAGCAUUGGUACUUUCUUGUCAAAAGAAGAAGACAAUGAACUUUGGAUUUUGAUAAUAAAAAAGAAACAAUAAUUUUAGGGCUUGUUUACUUCCCUUAUUUUAGACUCGUUGAUUCCGACAGUUGUUGUUUGUUUUAUAGGAAUAGGAUUUCGAUUCCCAUUCCACUCUGGAACAGAAAUGGCCCAAUCCGGCUUUGAAUCCUGGAAAUACCUCUCCAAAGUAAACCACUUAAAAUCUACUCUCACAGAAACCUUCCCAUCCUCUCCCCUCAUCAUUCUCCUCUCCCUUAACCAAAACCUCUCUCAAAGUACUAGAUGUCCCUAUUGUUCAUUUUGAUUUCCAUUCCAAUAAUGAAACAAAAUUUUUGGAUGAUUCGUCAUUCUAUUUCCCAUUUCAAUACAAUUCAAUUCAAUUUUCUAUUCUCAUUCCACUCAUAAACCAAACAUACCCUUUUAUUAGGGAAAAAAAACUUAUCCUAUAAUUUGGAAAAAGAAAAAAAUUGCAAGUAAUUUUAUCUGAUACCAACUUAAUCUAUCACACGCCGGGUUAUACCGGAACUUGGGUUAAGAUUCUCCCCAAUCAAAUGAAAGCUCAACUCCAAGAGAAAAAUCCAAAGAAAAUCCAUUAAAAUCUCAACUUGCUCAAAAACUGGGAACUUUUACUAAAACUUAAAAAGAAAAAAAUCCAAAAAUACUUGGAGAUUUGAUGAAGUGAAGCUUUCCACAAACUUUGAACUUUAACUAGCUGUGCAUACACCUCUCCUACAAUCUUAAACUUCGAAACAUCACCAAAAUCCAAAGAAAAGUCGAACUCCUCAAGCUGCCAAGCUGCUGCUAUUCUGGGAAUGCUCCAAUGGUGAGUAGAAGAGGAAGAAAGGCAAUGAGAGGAGGAGAAUGUGAGGAAGAAGGAAAUGAGAGUGGAAGAGAGAUGAUCUCAGCUAGCACUAUACUCUAAACUCCUAAUUAAAAGUAGUUGGAGGUGUAAGUUGAGCCUAAACCUCAACAUAACUCUUUAUAAUAUUCCAGCUAAAAUCAAUAGUACUUCGGAAUUAUUUGUUUUACCAAUUUCGCGUCCACAUCAAUUUCGACUCAUCCUAACACUUUUCGAAUGUGUCGCUUAAUCCACAGACUGUAAUCAUUACAAGAAAUAAUAUUCUAAUAUAUAUUUUUUUUCAAAACACUGCAUCUCCACUUCUACAAAAAGUUUUGUUCUUGAAACUUAAACCAUACCUCAAAGAAGAACUCUCAAACAAGUAGGGAUAGGUCUCCAACAUCAUAGCCUCCGGCUCCCAAGUCGCUUCACGCUCCUCGUGAUUACUCCACACAACUUUUACAUAGGGAAUGACUCGGUUGCACAAUUCUUUCACCUCCCAAGCAAAAAUUCAUACUGGUCUCUCCUCGUAUCUCAAAGUCUCACUCAGCUCCAGUACAGUGAAAUCAAUUAUGUGCGAGGGAUCAAAAAUAUAUUUUCUCAAAGCCGAGACAUGAAAAACAUCGUAGAUACUAGCUAACUAGGGGUGGCAAUUCAGCUUGCCAUUUGCGAGCCAGCUCGUGUUCGGCUCGAAAUGAGCUCGGGAUCAAAUCGCUCAUUUAGUAAACGAGCCGAGCGCGAGCUGAAAUUUUCAGCUAGUUUAAUAAACAAGCCGAACAUGAGCUGGGGUCAGUUCGCUCGUGUUCGGCUCGAUAGCAACUCGAAUACAUAUAUUUUAUAUUUUUCUAUAUAAAUUAAUAAUUAUAUAUGUAUAUAAUAUAAAUUUUUAUUAUUUGAUUUUCUGCCCAAUAUAAAUAUAAAGCCCAAUUCAAUUAUAAAAUGAUUCAUUUAUAUGUAAAAUUUUAAUUAUUAGAUCAAAGUAUAACAGGUAAGAUCUUAUAAAUUUAUUCCUUAUAUAUAUUCUUUCUAAUCCUUCUAAAUUCUUAUUUAUAAGCCAGCUCGCAUUCAGCUCGAUACUUUAACGAGCUAGCCCGUGCUCGGCUCGUUUAUGAAACGAGCCAAACACGAGCCGACCACAGCUCGCUCAUGUUCGGCUCGUUGAUGCCCCUAUAUAUAUAUAUAUAUAUAUAGAGAGGGAGAGAGAGAGAGAGAGAGAGAGAGAGUAGGGCUACUACACUCUUAUGAGUAUUGGGCCCUUCGUACUCAUAAGUUGUUUUCAAUGAUGGAGCUUCCGAAUCAACGAUCCACUCCGUUAAAUAUGAUCUAGAGUAUUUCAAACUUCUAGAAAAUAAAUUUCGUAAUUUUUCGAAAUCAUAAUAAUGUUGUAGUAUAUUGAACUUUAGCAAAUCGCGCAGUUCAAGUAAGGAGAAGGGUACUUGGAACCAUCCUACGUGUUUUAAAGAGCAUAAAGAUGUUUUCGGACAAGUUUGAGAGUCAUUGGACCCUUGGAAGUGAGAAAGUGCAUUGUAAUUUCGAAUUUGGCAUUUUCUGCAUUGGUGUACCGGUACAAGCAUAAUGCUGUACCGGUACAGCAAGCAGCAGCAGCAGCAGGUGCGUGGUAGCAGGGAUCUUUUGGUCUUUUGGGCUUCUUGAUCUUAUCUUUAAGAGGUAGCUCGACCCCUGCAGCUGUAGAAGGGUUGCAGGAGCCUUGAGAAAGAGGUUGAAUAGAUUUUCUUCUCCUCUCUCUAGAGUUUUUCUCUCUACCAUGGGAAAUAAUGGUUUAAGUUGAAUUUCUUUCAUUAUUCGAUUUCAGCUGAUUGGGAGUACUUUGGAGUUGCUACGGAAGGAAGGAACAGCAGCCUUGCAGAGCACUUCGCAGCUUCGAACCUAGCUGUAACUCGGUUGAAGCUUUGGAGAGGUAAACUAGUAGUUAUUCCUUAGUUUGAAGCAUAAUGAUGAAUUAGUGUAAUAUUGGGGUUUAGGUGUUACUAGCAGUGUAAAGAGAGAGAGAGAAGAACAUUCUGCAGCUUGGGAAGGAGACUUGGACUGUGGAGCUUCAAAUUGAAGCUAGAGAAAGGUACUAUUCAAUCUGCGAAGGUGUAUUAUUUAGUAAUCCCCUUAGCUGAAGGGUUUGGUGUAAAGUAAAAUAGUAUUAACACUUGACUUCGCAGCAGGUUUACUUACUCUUUGGAGCGGAGUUGAUGAGUUUUGAGACUGAAUUUGAGUACUUAUAUCUUCGGCAAAGUAGAAAUAUUCCGUGGGGAAUUUAAACAAGUAAGACUUCAGCUUAUAAUACAUGGUUUUCUAAGAAUAGCAGGACUGUUUUGAGGCUAAUUUGCAGCAGGCUUGCGACAGGGUAUUAGAUAGUUCUCGACUGAAUUUUGGGAGCUUGUGACGGUGAAUCUAGUGUCUUCACUUGAACCAAAACAGGAGAUUAGAGCUGCAGCCUGACACAAGGCUAUGUUGCACAGAUACGGAUACGGGGAUACGGAUACGACACGAUACGGAUACGGCGAUACGGCAAUUCCUAAAACUUCUAGGAUAUGAUACGCGGGAUAUACUUGAGUAAAAUAUUAUUUUAAAUAUAUUUAAAUAUAUGUUGAUUAUAUGUAAUGAUAUAUUGAGAACAAUCAGAAUAUCUGGACUAUAUUAAGGAAUAUAUUCUAAUAUGCAUUAACUUGUAUAAUUGUUUUACAUAUGUUCAUAAAAAAAGAUAAUCAAUCAUAUAAAAUAAUAAUUCAAAAAGUAUCAAACCAACUGUCAUCCAACUUGAUCAAAUGAUAACAAUAGAUAUGUAGUUGCACAAACUAGAUAAUUAGUCAUUCAAUAUACAUGUCUGUUUUGUUAGUUCUAUUAUUAAAAUAGUAAUAAAAAAAUAUGGUAGCAAUGUAAUAGAGAAGUAAAAAAAAUCAUAUUUUCUAUAGCCUUUGUUGCUUAAUGCUAGGUUGACAAAUUAGAUGAAAGAGAGUAUAUAUUGUGUGAAGAUAGAACGAGAGGGAGCGCCUUCUACCAUUCAAGAGCAAAAAGAUAGAUGAAAUGACAAAUUGAACAGAGAUUGGCGUUUUUCUCACUCUUUUCCUUCUUUCUAAUAGGUUUGGACUUGAGUUUUUUAAAAAAAUUUUAAGUUUCGAUCAUUUUAGAUCAAAAAAGAAUCUGGCCGUGUCCCCCCCGUAUCCCCCCGUAUCCUUCACGUAUCCGAGCCGUAUCCGAUAUUUUUUUAUUUUUUAAAAAUGUCCGAUACUUCAUUCCCGUAUCGGACACGUAUCGGGCACGUAUCGGGCGCGUAUCGUUAUCCGAUACAUAUCCGAUACGGGUACGGCAUGAAAUUUGAAGUAUCCGUGCUUCAUAGACACAAGGUAAAAGUUGCUGAAAGUUGACAUUCGAUACUAGUUUCAAUGUAGUUUGGUAAAGUGAUUCACAGCUGUGGUCCAGCAGGUUGAGUGAUCAUUUGAAGAUGGUUAGUAUAACCUGGAAGCUGAAGUUGUGCUGAUCUAAGGGGGGGGGCCAACUUGAAUUAAAGCAAGGUUUAGUUUAGACUAAACCUAGGUGAGAAUUUAGCCUUAACAUGGGAUUAUGUGAAGUUUUACCUUUGACAUGUAAAUUCAGCUUUUAACUGACUUUGACCCGAUAUUAGGGAGAUCGAAGACUCCAGGUUACGCAUACAAGAGUGUGUUUCACAAAUCGGCAACUAAUAGGUGGGUUUGACCUACCCAGAGCAAGUGGAAAUCCCCUAUGUUCUAUAUGAUACUAUAUGUUGAUAGUAUGUGCGAGUACUAAUGGGCAUUAGUUACAGAGUGUUGAAUACUAUAACUUACUUGCCAUUGAAUUGACUGAAUCUUCCUAAUGUAUUAGAAUCAUAAGUAAUGAACUUGAUAUUGGACUCAAUGCACAUUUAGUAUAUGACUUUAUCCUACUUUGAUGAAGUAUAGAAUAAAGAGGUUCAUUUAGUAUAUGGACAGGUCAUUCAUUUGUAUUGAUAAAUUCUCAAGAUCUUGGACUUAUGUAUUUUUUGUAAUAUUUUUCUAUAAUUGCUGAAACUAGUGAAUACUAGCAUUUCCUUUAUAUUAAGAUUCCGACCUAGAGGUCGUAAGCAAGAAUUUUACAUGUUAAGACAUGAUGACUGGGAACUGUUGAACUAUGGAUCGUGCUUGCUUGCCAUUGUGCUCAUUCGCACAUGCUUGUGAGGGUCGCUCCCCACAAGCCGGCACUCCGGAGUUGGCCUACGCGACAGAUUGCUCGCCCGUGCGGGAUUGGGUGCCGAAAUGGAUUGCCGUGGGGAGUGUUUACUACCACGGGGCCAUUAGGCGCGGCGCAAGCUGGACUACCUUGUGUAGGUUCUUAUGAAUUAAACUAAAGUUCCAAAGGAUAGUAAUCGAUGAUUACCUUAUUUAAUGUAUAGUUACACAAUCCCAGAAUUUGUCCAUGUGCAUAGUAACUACUUUAUUUGCUUUGGCUUAAUUAACAUGUCUGAUAGUAUGAUACAUAUUCAUUAUUAAUUAUCAUUGAUUUAUCUAUCAUGCAGUAAAUGUUGUUUACAUUUCUAAUAGUACAUUAUGAGCCUAGUGGUGUAAUUCGCCGAGGCUGGCGGCUUACCCACUGGGAACUAUUGUUUAAUAGUUCUCACGCCCUUUUUAUUGUUGUUUUUACAAAGCCACCUACAGGAGAGACUAGGGAUCGUGGCAAGGGAGUCUCGUCUAGCUAGAUCUAGCUUGGAGCGUGACUAGAUGAUCACCUUGCUACUCGGGCUACGGCCGAGGGUGAUGUCCCCAUGUAUAGAGAGACUACCGUUGUACUUAUAUUGUAUAUAUACUUGGGAUGUAUAUGUGGUUUUGACUAGAGUUUUCAGUUUUGAUGUUUUUCUGUGAUGUUUGAGAUUUUGGGGUAUUUACUUACUGUCUUCUGAUAAUCUUAUUAUUGACUUAUACUUUGCUCUGAUAUCAGGUUAGAAUUCUUCGAUGUUUUCCUCCUUUCAACAUGGUUUUCUUGUAGACGCCUUAUAUACUGCAGGUAUAUGGCGGGUUUGUGCAUGUAUCGGGUAUACUUCCGCUGAUACCCGGGCGUGACAAAUGUCCAUCAAGCAGGCAUAAAAUGAACGGUCAAAAUCGAACGACGUCUUAAAAAUGAAUGAUCGGAUCCUUCAAUUUAAGAUUGGAGUUAUUGAUCUUUAUCUAGGGAGUGAAUAGAAUUUUCUAUCAAAAAUUCAACCUAUUCGGAUUCUUUUGCACCGUUAAACUAGCAAGUAUUCCAUACCGGCCGUUAAAAAUUGUCAAAUUUGUGAGCUUUUGAUCGUAAGAUAAUGAUGUCGAAAAAUUAUGAAGUUUGAUUUCUAGAAGUUUUAAAUGCUCUAGAAAAUGUUUAAUGGUAUGGAUCGUCGAUUCGGAAGCUCUAUCAUCGAAAACGACUUAUGAGUACGAAGGCGAUCGUACUCAUAAGAGUAUAGUAGCCGGACUCUAUAUAUAUAUAUAUAUAUAUUUAUAUAUAUAGAGCUAGUCUCCUAUACUAUCUAUAAUACGGUGUAUAGUCUCGUUUUCGAUCUUAGAGUGUUCAAAUCAACGAUCCACACCGUUACAACUGAUCUAGGAUAUUUAAAAUUUUUAAAAAUAAAAUUUUAUAUUUUUUUGACAUAGUUUACUUUAUGAUCAAACCAUUUCAAAAUUGUCAAUUUUCAAAAGCUACUAUGGCGAGUUUGGAGUUUAACGGUGUAGAAAAAUCUAAAUUUCUUCAAAUUUUGAUAGAAAAUACUUUAAACUAUCUAGAUUAAGGUUAACAUUCUUGAUCUUGAAUUUAAAAGUCCUAUACUCAAAUUUUAAAGAUUAUUCAAUUUCCACCGUCCAUUUUGACAUAAUUUAUUUACUAAGUAAACGAUGUCGAAAAAAACUAAAAUUUUAUUCCUAAGAACUUCAUAAACCCUAGAUCAUAUUUAACGGUGUGGAUCGUUAAUUUGAGCACCCUAAGAUCGAAAACAAGACUAUAGUACCGGAGCUCCGAUACUAUAGAUAGUAUAGUAGCUAUUCAUAAAAUUAUAAUUUAUAAUAAUUUGGAACAGUACAUCCCUCCUUUAUAAAAAGUUUCGUUCUCGAAACUUAAACCAUACCUCAAGAAGACCUCUCAAAUAAGUAGGGGUAGGUCUCCAACAUCAUAGCCUCCGCUUCCUAAGUCGCCUUACGCUCCUCGUGAUUACUCCACACCACUUUUACAUAGGGAACGACCUGGUUGCACAAUUUUUUCACCUCCCGAGUAAGAAUUUGCAUCGGUCUCUCCACGUAUCUCAAAGUCUCACUUAGCUCCAGUGGGAUGAAGUCAAUCAUGUGCAAGGGAUCAAAAACAUAUUUUCUCAAAGCCAAGACAUGAAAAACGUCUUGGAUACCAGUUAACCGCGACGGUAAAGCAAUCCUGUAGGCCACCAGUCCAACCCACUCCAAUACCUCAAAGGGACCAAUAUAACACGGACUUAGCUUUCCACGAACUCUAAAUCUACGAAUCCUCCUAAACAACGAGACUUUCAAAAACACAUGGUCUCCAACCUGAAACUUCAAAUCUCGUCACCUAGUAUCAACAUAGCUCCUCUGCCGACUCUGAGCUGCUCAAGAUGUGCCGUGCAAUUCUGACCUUUUCUUCUAUCUUCAACAGAAUGUCUGGACCAAAAUCUUUCUUUCACCCACUUCAUUCCAAUAUAGGGGUGAUCGAUACUUGCGUCCAUACAACGCUUCAAACGGAACCAUCUAAAUGCUCGCUUGAUAGCUGUUGUUGUACGCAAACUCAGCCAGUCUCAAGUGCCGAUGCCACCUUUUUCCAAACUUCAAGACGCAGACUCUCAACAUAUCUUCAAGAAUCUGAAUAAUCCGCUCUGAUUGUCCAUCGGUCUGUAGGUGAAAUAUUGUACUGAAAUGAAGCUGUGUACCUAAGGCAGUCGGUAGACUCCUCCAAAAAUGCGAGUUGAAUCUCGAGUCUCAAUCUGAUACAAUCAAAAUAGGUACUCCAUGAACCUAUUCCCUCUAAAUACAACUGAGACAAGUCAGAUCUAGACCACAAGUUGAAGCAGACUUGCAGAUGUCGGCUCAGACGCAUCAAAUCACUGAGCUCCAGAUAAUCCGACGACAAAAUCCGUCGUGAUCUGGUCUCACUCCCACUCUGGAAUCGGAAGGGUCUGAAGCUUGCCAGCAGGUACACGAUACUCGGACUUCACUUGUUGAUAAGUCAAACACUGAGAUACAUAUCUCCCAAUAUCCCUUCGAGGUAUUGGAGCGGGUUGGACUGGUGGCCUACAGGAUUGCUCUACCGUCGCGGUUAACUGGUAUCCAAGACGUUUUCAAUGUCUUGGCUUUGAGAAAAUAUGUUUUUGAUCCCUUGCACAUGAUUGACUUCAUCCCACUGGAGCUAAGUGAGACUUUGAGAUACGUGGAGAGACCGAUGCAAAUUCUUACUCGGGAGGUGAAAAAAUUGUGCAACCAGGUCGUUCCCUAUGUAAAAGUGGUGUGGAGUAAUCACGAGGAGCGUAAGGCGACUUAGGAAGCGGAGGCUAUGAUGUUGGAGACCUACCCCUACUUAUUUGAGAGGUCUUCUUGAGGUAUGGUUUAAGUUUCGAGAACGAAACUUUUUAUAAAGGAGGGAUGUACUGUUCCAAAUAUAUAUAUAUAUAUAUAUAUAGUUAACUAGAGCUAGAAUAUUAUCGAUAGCAAACCGGCACUUUUGCCACCCAUUUGUUUUUUAUGAUGGAGCUUCCAAAUCGACGAUCGGCAUCGUUGAACAUGAUCUAUACCACUUGAAGUGUUUAGAAAUCAAAUUUUAAAUCUUUUUUACAUCAUUUGCCUAAUGAUCAAAGGGUUUCAAAAUUUAUAGUUUUAAUGGUCGAUAUGAGGCGUUUUUUCGUUUAACGGCGUAAAGAUAUCCAAAUCAAUUAAAUUUUUGUUAGAAAAUUCUUAAAACUAUUUAAAAUAAGAUCUAUACUCUUGAUCUUGAUUACAAGACUCCUAGCAUCAUUUUUUAAAGAAUAUUCAAUUUCAGCCGUUCAUUUUUGUGUCCACUCGAUGGAUUAGAGAACAAUAUCGAAAAUGUAUGAAAUUUGAUUUCUAAAUACUUCAAAUAGUAUAGAUCAUGUUCAAUGGUGUCGAUCAUCAAUUUGGAGGCUCUAUCAUCGAAAACAAAUGGGUGGCAAAAGUGCCGGUUUGCUACCAAUAGUAUUCUAGCUCAACUAUAUAUAUAUAUAUAAUAAUAUUAAGAAUAUUAUUUCGGAUGAUACAGUCCGUGAAUUAAGGUGCACAUCGGAAAGUAUUGGGAUGAGUCAGAAUUGUUUUGAACGCGGAAUUGGUACCACAAAUAAUUUCAAAAUACUUUUGAUUUCAACUGGAAUACUAUUAUGUGUUAAGUUGGGGUUUAGGCUCAACUUACACCUCCAAUUCCUCCUAAUUGGGGAGUUUGGGGUGCAGUGCUAGCUGAGAUUAGUUCUCUCCCACUCUCAUUUCCUUCUCCCUCACAUUCUACUCCUUUCUUUACCCUUCUUCCUGUUCUACUCACCAUUUGAGCACUCUCACAGCAGCAACAACCUGGCAGCAUGAGGAGUUCGACUUCCCCUUCGAUUUUGGUGAUGUUUGGAAGCUUGGAAUUAUAGGAGAGAUGCACGCAUAGCUAGUUCUUGAAGUUAAGAGUUUGGGGAAUGCUUCAUUUCAUCAAAUCUCCGGGUAUUUUCGGAUUAUUAAAGUUUUGGUAAAAGCUGUCAGUUUUUUUAGCAAGCUGAGAUUUUGAUGGAUUUUCUUUGGAUUUUUCUCUUGAAUCUUGGUUUUCUUUUCGUUGGGGAGAAUCUUUACUUCAUCUAGAGCAAGUGGGAACUUUGUUUGAGCUGAAUCAAAGGUUGGUUUUUAGUGAAUUUCAGUUUUCAUUGAGUCCAUCAACCAAAAAUCAGCAUUUGGUGGUGUUUUUUAUCACUUUUGCAUGGUGAUUUCGUGGUAACUAUGGGGUUCUUUUGAUGGAUUAGGGGCUUGGGAACACAUUUGGGAGUGUUGUGGUCUUCCUCAUUGCCUUGCUUCCCUCGUGGACUUGCUGGAAUAGCCGCAAGAGCUGCCGGAACUCAGCUACAGUGCAGUGGUAGCAGCAGCCUAGUGCAGGGACAGCAAUGAUGUAUUUUCAAAAUUCCUUUCGAUUGGGACUUUGUUGCUACGAUUUGAAGAUUUCUGGGUGUUCCUAAGGUUGAGAGGAACCUAGUAUUUAAGUUUGAGCCGCUGAUUUGAGGUGAGCAUAGCUGAAUUUCAGUUUUUCGUACUGUAUCGCCGUUUUGUUGGAAUUUAGCUUGAUUUAUUAUUCGGCUCAAUCCGAUAGGAAUACUUACGAUUUUUUUUGCUUUGUUUGGUGAUUUUGGAUCUGAGACACGUGCCCGCUGAGUUUCAUCCUGAUCCGUAGUUGGAUUUGCACUCUAGGUGGGUCUGAACUAAUACAUCAAAAACCGCAAACUGCACUCUACAUCUAGUGUAAUUUCAGCAUGUUGUAGUUAAGACAUAUGUUGUUUUUUCUACUUAAUUCUAGAUAUGGUUGAUAUGAAUCUUGUACUGAGUUUAUCUUAUUUCUAUACUUCCUUGCAUAUGAUUGCUUAGUCAUUUGGUUAGGAUCCACCUUAUAUACACUACCUAUAUAAUGCAUAUGAACUUAGAAUAAGAAACUCCAUUCCUAUGUUUGAUUAGUUCAUUAAUACUCAUGAUGUUGAGUAUGGGUUAGAGGUAGUGUGGUUAUCAUUGAGUUGGGGCUGGACAUUAUCGAAUUAUUGACUCGUUGAUUUCACAGUAACCGUGGGAUUUUGGACGGUUGUACUGAGUUUUCAAUUAUGCAUCGGAUUAGGACGAGAUUAUUUAUUUAGUGGUUUUGUUGAUUCACCUUGGUCAUGAGCAUUGAUUUUAACCUGUGACAUACUUGACCUAGUUACUUUAUCCUUGAGUCGGUCGCUCUCCUCAAGUGCCACUCCGGAGUUAGAUGUUUGAGUACUUUUGGGUAUGUUCCACGUUAACGAUCCGCAGAUUGUUAGUGAGAUAAGAUGUGAUGCUAGUGCAGGCGGGACUGGGCUUUCGAGCCAAUCGAUUGAUUGGGUUAUUCUCGUCGGAUUAUUAUAGUUGAUGCAUAUCAUUCCAUUUAUACUUACUCAUUCCAUACUAGUGUAGAGGCAUAGUACGUAGUUUUCCUUUCAGCAGCUAUUAUAUAUUCUUUACCACUUUGCCCUUGUCGCCUCUGGUAGACCUAGUGGGUGGGUUGUACUUGUCGAUGACGUACUAUUGAGGACUACUGGUUUUUAGUAGUUCUCGCACCCUCUGUUAAUCCUUUUUUGCAGAGACCUCUACAGCGAUAGCGGCAACUGCGGACCGAGGUAAGAGGAUCGCUAGCUAGAUAGCUCUCCUUCCUAUUUUGUGGGUUAGUUUUGGACCCGAAUAUUAUUUUUGUUAGACUAUUGUACACAAGGAUUUAAGUGCUGUGGCAAAGGAUCUUGCCGAAAAUUUGCCGGCACAAUACGACACGGUGCUUGCCGAACCGUACCGAUGUGUCCCGGUCACAAAAAAAAUGUGUGCCAACACAUAAUGAUAUGAAAUAUUUAUUUUCUUUAACAAUAAAAUUUUCUAAUUGCUUAUUAUGUAUCUUUAACAAAUCUUUUAAACUUUAUUGAGAAAAUUACUUACUAAUUUAAAGAAAAAAGGGUUUUGAGCUGUGUCAUCGUCACGGAGGCUGUAUCGUGCCUGUAUCUUGUUGGCACGAUAUGGUAUGGUAGAUACAGUCCAUACCGAUGGACACUUAAAUCCUUGGUUGUACAUUUUGAAUCUGGCUUUUGCCAACUGGCUGUAUUUAUUUUUAUAUAUGGGAGAUGGAUCUUGUAUUCGAAUGAUAUUUUUAUACAGUUCAAUCUUUAGCUAGUUUAAUACUUCAGCUCUGUUUUGCUCUUCUGUAUUGCUUUAUUAUACUUUAAGCAGGUACUAGCGCUUCGUGGGCACGGGGCUUCCCGUGUACACGGCACCACGGCGGAUCUGUUGGCUAGCCCAAAUUUCGGAAUAACCCGGAGCGUGACAAAUUAAGUUGGCACCUAUUUUUAUAACAAAAUAUAUAUUUCUCUAUUUAUAUUUUCUCUAUUUAUAUUUUGAAUAUAGUAUUCAAAAUGAUUAAAAGUAAUUAAAAUACUAUAAGAAUAAAAUUGGUAUACUUUUUUAUUCCAUUUCUAAUGUCUAAAUCAACCAAACGGUUCAUUCCGACCCGAUUCAGGUGGCGAACCAAACAAACUGAUGUAAUAAGUCAUUCGUAUUCCGAUUCCAAUUCCGACUUCGAACCAAACACGACCUGUGUAUUUUUUUUCUUAUCCCUUUAAUUGGGCUGCAAAUGGAAUCGCCCUAUGUUCUUCUACAGUCGAAAAAUGAAAAGAAAAACAAUGGAAAAGAACUCCAAGAGCAAAAGCAGAAGAUAAAUAGAUUACAGAGACACACACAGUAAAUGAGCUAAGUUGACAUUCUCAAUACCUCAUUAAAAGCAUCUUGAUUCCAAAACCAUUCAUCCUGCUCAAUCUCUUCAUCCAGCAACUUAGUCAUUCUACCAAUGCCACAAAAUUAAAGACUCAUCAAAUUAAACCACAAAUAAGCAAAUUGUACUAGCUCAGAUUACUACAUCCAAACAAACAUCACCCGAAAAUGAUGAUUAAAUCACAAAAAACACAAAACAUGAAACACAACUAUGCUUCUAUGUUGAAACCUAUAUCGGAACAAAUCGAACCACAUAGAAAAGAUCAGAGACCUGUUGGGGGGGGAGAGAGAGGUACCUCUUGCCUCUGGUGGCUCGAGCGGAGCGCUCGAGGAGAAGGAGAGGAUCCUCGUCGGGAUCCGCCAUGGAUGAGAGCUUCGUUGGAGCUCGGCGAUGGUGAGGGAGGAGGAGGAGAAGAGGGGAGAGGCGAAGUGUUCGCUUUUGCCCUCGUCGACCAGAAGGAAAAACCUUUGGUUAGGUUACUGGUGAGUUUAAUCACUUAUUAAUAAAUCGGCGGGCAUGAGAACUCGGCGCUUUUAUUUCGCAUUGCCGAAUUAUGCACUAAACUCGGUGUUUAAACAUCCCUGUUGCCGACUUACGAGUAAUCGCUGUGAACUGGGUAAAAAUUAGUGGGUGUUUGGCCUAGCUAGGGGUGGAAACGAGCCGAGCUUGAGCGAGCUUAUCUCAGCUCAAGCUUGGCUUGAAAUUAAUUUCGAGCCUAAAUUUAGGCUCAAGCUCGGCUUGAAAUUAAUUCGAGCCGAGCUCGAACGAGCCUAAUUUCGAGUCGAGCGAGCUCGAGCCCUAAACGAGCUGUUUGAAAUUCUUAACACCGUGCAAUCUAUAGUUUAAUUUUUAUAAAAUAUUAUCUAAAAUUCGAUACAAAAAUAUCUAAUAGCUCAACAUACAAAAUGAAUGCAUGAAAUACAAUAUUAUAAGAUUAAAAAAAAUAGGAAAAGCGAUUCUAUGAGGAGUGAAAAAGAGAGAGAGAGAAAUUGCUGGUUUGAUUUUGUGGGCCCAAUAAUCUAAAUUCUAUAUACAUAUAAUUAAAAUACAUAAUAUAUAUUAUUUUAUUAUAUUAUUGGGUAUUGUAUAUAUUAUAUAGCGGAGAUUGCUACUUCUGCUUUGUAGGACCUUUAUACUCAUAAGUUUUCGAUCGUUAGAUCUAUGCUUUUUACUAUUUCCAUCCGUAAAUCAUACUGUUCAACCAAUCAUCCACCCAAUCCUAAGGGACCACUAUCAUCCUAAUUGCACAUUCAACGGCCAAAAAUUUAUAAGUAUAAAAAAGUCUAUACUCAAAAGAGUAUAGUAGCCCUAGCUUAUAUAUAUAUAGAAUUAAGUACUAUACUAUUAAUAGUACCAACCGCUUGUUAUUAAGUUUUCGGCCCUUAGAUGAAAGGAUGUGUGGUCAGGAUAAUUGUAGCCCCUUAGGGUUGAGGAGGUGGGUAGUUGAAUAGUAUGAUCUAAUGGAUGAAAAUGGCUUAAGGGGUAGAUCUAACGGUAGAAAACUCGAUAGCACCAAACGCUUGGUACUAUUGAUAGUAUAGUAAUCGGACUCUACAUAUAUAGAUAGAUCUAACGGCAGAUAACUCGAUAGCACAAAACGAUUGGUACUAUAAAUUGUAUAAUAGUCGGACUAUAUACAUAUAGAGAGAGAGUCCGGCUAUUAUAUUAUCGAUAGUACCAAAUGCUUAGUACUGUCGAAUUUUGUACCGUUAGAUCUACCCCUUUGACCAUUUUCACCCGAUAGAUCAUAUUAUUCAACUAAUCACCCACUCAACUCUAGGAAAUCACUAUCAUCAUAACUGCAUAUCCCUUCAUCCAAAGGCUAAAAACCUAAUAGCAAGUGAUUAGUACUAUUAAUAGUAUAGUAGACUAAUUCUAUAUAAAUAUACAUAUAUAUAUUUCGAGCUUUUAAAGCCUAAUUCGACCGAGUCCGGUAAUACUCAAGCUUGACUUGAAAUUAAUUUCGAGCCUAAAUUUAGGCUCAAGCUCGACUUGAAAUUAAUUCGAGUCGAGCUCGAGCAAGCCGAAUAUCGAGCCGAACGCGAGUCGAACACGAGCCGGCUCGCUCAUUUGCCAGCCCUAGGCUCAUUUGCCAGCCCUAGGCCUAGCAUUUGAAAAGUGAUUUUGGGUUCAAAAGUAAAUUUUUGAUUCAAUAGAAUGUUUGGCAAUCACCUAUUUAAAAUCUGAUUUUAAUUUUUAGAUUGAAUGUUCUAAUUUUUUAGGCUCAAAAUCAGAAAUAGCAAAAACCUGCUUCUUGAAAUCUGAUUAUGCUUUUAGACUCAAAUUUUAAAUUUUAUUUUUAUUUUAGAUUCUAAUUUUAAAUUUAAAUUCAAAUUUAAAUUUUAAAUUUUAAAUUUUAAAUUUUAAAUUUUAAAUUUUAAAUUUUAAAUUUUAAAUUUUAAAUUUAAAAAUUUUAAACUUUCAAUUUAAUAUAAAAUUUACUAUUAAAUUUAAAUUUUAAAAUUUUAGAAUUUAAAAUGUAAAUUAUAGAUUUUAUUUUUCAAAUUACAAAUUUAAAUUUUAAAUUUAAAUUUUAAAUUAAAUUUUAAGUUUUAAAUUUUAAAUAUUAAAAUUUUAAUUAUAAAUUUUGAAAUUCAAAUUUAUUUUUUGAAUUUGAAAUUGAAAAUUUAAAUUUUCAUUUUUUAAAUUUAAAAUUUUUAAUUUUUAAAUUUUCAAAUUUACACAAAAAUUUUGCUUUAAAUUUUUGUGCAAAUUUAAUAUUUAAAACUUUAAUUCAAAUUUAAAUUUUUAACUAAAAUUUAAAUUUUAAAUUAUUUUAAAAUAAAAUUUAGUAAAAAAUUUAUUUUAUGAAACAUUUAAAAAAUUUUACCAAAUAGUUUUACAAAUUCACUUCAGAAAAAUACUUUCUAUAUAUUUAAAUUUAGUCAAACACACUGCAGCUUUUAAUCAAAAUCUUCAAACCAAAACCUAUUCUGCAAAAAGCAUUUUUCUAGAAUUUAGGCCAAACGAGUAAUUUCUUCAUGAGGUAGUCCUUUUCUUCACUAUAAACAUCUACUUAAAUACACAUGCAGUUAAUUGAUUUCUUCGGCUGGGUUAAGACUAAUUAUAGGUAGUUAAUCUGUGUAAUAUUAAAAUUUGGUCUCUAAACUUUUUUACUUAAACACUUAAAUUAUGAACUGUCAUAUAUAUUGCAAUUUAGUUUGAGUCUUACAGAAAAAAAAAAAGAGCUAUUUUUAAUGAAACGACCUUCUAUCACUAUUUGUAAGCUAAUAAUUAAACUGAGUUAUACGAAUAAUUUUUUUAAUAUAUAAGCCACUUUAUAGGUGAGAUUAAAGUUGUCAUUUUCUAAGAAAGAUUAGAUUAGUUUUUAAAGGUCAAGGAGUGAAUUGCAAUAAUAUACGCAGAAGUUUGGGGAUUAAAAUAUUUAUUUGAAAUGUAUAUAGCGACAAGUUGCAAUAUAGGAAUAGCAGCGAAUAUUUAAUUUCUAUCGAAGAGUAUUAUUAUUGGAGCCACCAACUUUCUUACACGUGCUGAAAUUAUACUGAAUAAGAGAAAACAAUUUUAAGGCCCUCCACAACAACCCCAAAUCCUUUCCUUGAAUUGAUUAGCUCUCACUAGAGAACACUGAUCUUCGUACACAUUUAGGACUAAUUCAACCUUCAUUACACAGUCGGCCGCCGCAUAUUUUAUUAUUUUUCGUACUCUGAUAAGGUCACCGUACUGAUAUUUAAUUACUUUUUUAGUUACACAACGACCACAUCAAAACAAGGACCGAUUAAUUCUUACUAAAGCUUUUCAAACUAGGCUUCUUUUUGUAGGAAAAAUUAAGUAUGACCUUUUCAAGGCUCUAUCAUAUGAUGAUCUUUUCGAAGCCUUAUCAUAAAACCAAGUCCCCACAUCCUCUUCUUCUAUAUGUACUCAUAACACCCCAGCCACUUUUCCAUCAUCAAAAACUAGCUACAACAUUCAAGUUUCAUUAGUUUCUUCUGCAGUGACCUACAAGCUUCAGGAAACAUAAAAUGGCAGCUAAAAUCCUCCUCUUUGCUCUUCUUUUAGUCGCCUCUCCUUCUGCAUUCGCUUCCGAUCCUAGUCCUCUCCAAGACUUUUGUGUCGCCGAUGAGAUGUCUCAUGGUAAGCAAUUUAAUACAUUGCUCUUCUCUGUCAUUUGAGUUACUAGGGUUAAGUAGUUGCAAUUGGGUCCCUAGCUACGUACAAAGCUAGUUGUACAUAUGUAGUAGUAUCACUAAUUAACUAUGUGUUUAUGUUCCUGCAGUGUUUGUUAAUGGGUUCGUGUGCAAAGAUCCAAAACUAGCGAAACCUGAGGAUUUCCUCUUCUCCGGCCUAGACAAGCCCGGAAACACAUCCAACAAGUUCGGAUCGAAAGUGACCUUAAUCGAUGCAAGUAAGAUCCCCGGUCUCAACACCCUAGGUGUCUCGAUGGCUCGUCUUGAUGUUGCACCUCAUGGUCUCAACCCACCACACAUUCACCCACGUGCGACCGAGAUCUUGACUGUGAUAGAAGGCUCCCUUUAUGUUGGAUUCGUGACGUCGAACCCUGAGAACAAGCUCUUCUCUAAGGUCCUUAACAAGGGCGAUGUGUUCGUGUUUCCCGCGGGUUUGAUUCACUUUGAAUUUAACUUUGGUCCGACCAGGGCAGUCGGCCUUGCUUCCCUGGGUAGCCAGAAUCCGGGUCUCAAUAGGAUUGGCGAAUCGGUCUUCGGAUCAAACCCUUCCAUUUCUGAUGAUAUUCUUGCUAAAGCCUUUCAGGUGGACAAGAAAACCAUAGAUUGGAUUCAGGCUCAGUUCACGUCGACCAAUCAAAACUAAGAUAUAUACUAGAUGUAAUUUACUUUUGAUGUUUUGUUUUUCCAAUUAUCGCAUGUAAUCUGCUUUUGUUAUUCAUGUCUGUGGAUUUAUUCAUUUGAUUGUAUCAAUUGGAUUGAAUAAGCAAACAAUAUGGUACUGUUUGCAUGUGAGUUAGCAAUAACAAAACUACAAAUUUAUUUAUUAAUGACUGGCACUAGUUCCACGAUUAAUUACCCGUGGCCUCCGCUUCUCUCUCGAAAAAAAAAAAAAAAGAAGAAGAGGGCAACUUUAUUUCCCUUUUAUUUAAAAAAGUUUGCAUUUAGCUUGACAUACGAGGGCAAAUUUUAGAUAUAAUUUUGCUUGACAUAUGAGGGCAAAGUUUAGUUAUAACUUUUCAAAGUAGGUUUAUAUCAUACGUUUAGAGUGUCGGAUCGUUGGCGCUAAUCAUUAAUCCUAAAUGUUCAAAUUGUUAGAAAUAUAUAAUUAAUUCACUUAAAACAUAUAGACACAGCGCCAUGAGUCUCGAUUAUGACUCAACCAUGGCCAACUAAUCUCACGCCACUUUGAACAUGACUUGUCAUUGCGCCAUUUCAAACAUGACUCGGUCCAACCUGGUUUCCUGCCACAGGGCAGGAUGCUGACUUCUGUAAGCUAACAAUUUUUCCCUCCAGUACCUGCACAAAUUCACAACAUGCAGGAAUCGAACUCGUUCCCUCUGAAUCAGAUACCUCUUGUCGGAUCGUUAGAGCUAAGUAUUAAUCCCAAAAGCUCAACCUAUUAAAAAUAGGCAACCAAUUUACUUAAAAGCCAUAGUUAGUUAAUUCGAAUUCGACAAAAAUUCGGUACGGGUAUAAUAUGCAUAAAAUUCGUUUUCUAAGUUUUAAAUUCGUUGAAAAAUUCAGCUUAAAAAAAGGAUUUGGUAUAAAAUAUAAAAUAUAAGAUAUAAAAUAUGAGAUAAUCUAUAUUUAAACAUAAAAUUAUAAGAUUUUUAUUCAGAUUUUCAAUAAUUCGGGAAUAAUUCGCGAAUUAUUCAUGAAUUACAAACACAGGAUCCACGGGUCUCGAUUGUGACUCAGCCCAACCAACUUCACGCCACUUUGAACAUGACUCAUCCAACCCAGCCUCUCGCCAUUUCAAACAUGAUUUGGCCCAACCUGAUCUCUAGACACAUGGCAGGAUGCUAGCCCAUUUAAACCAACACGGAGUCUCUUGCCUUAACGCCGAGCUACUCAAAUUUAAUUAGUCUUCGAUUAGUGUAAUAAAUUUGUUAGAAAUAAUUUUUAUUAGAUAUGCCUCGAAAUUUGGUAAUCGAGUUCGAUUUUGUACCUCUAAUUUGCCGACAGCUUCACGGUGCGACAAAUUUUAAAAGGUAAUUUAUGAAGUAAAAAAUGGAUUUUGUGGUGAGUAUGGGCUCAAGACCAUUCUGAAGAAACCCCUAACGGAACUGCUGUCAGCCGAAUUCCGUAUUCCCUGACCCGGUCAAGGAUUUCCCUAGAAUAGGGAUGCGAAACGGCUACACGUGGUGACCCUCGAAGUUUGCGCCAUUCGACAGAUCAAGCGAUUCGGCUGAUGAGGGAUCCGAUCAGCCGAGUUUGUACCCUCUAUUAUAGAAUCGGUUCGGCUGAAUGAGCCGAAUGUACGGAUUGCACAGUAUUUUCAAGUCGGCUGAAGUGCCGAAUGCUUUUAUAUAUAUUAACUUGAAGUUCGAAACAAGUACAAAAGGUGAUGCCGGUACGGUGUACAGAAAAUCUAACUUAAAACUACUCUUAAGAAAAAACAGUAAAUGUAGGGAAGCCAUAAAAGAUUACAAGUAAACUAUUCCUUGAAAGCGAGGAAAAAAAUGCGUAGAAUUGAAAGUGGUCUUCUGUUCGUAGGGAAAAGACCCCUCUUCCAAGUGUCUUCUGUUUAUUUAUACUCUGCCCGUAGUUAUUCAAUUAUCUACAUUAUUGGUCACUUCUCCCUAAUUUCGUGGGCCACUACGAGCCGAUCUCAACCACAUGAAACCGUCUGCGGUUUGCUGCAACUUGCCUUUUGUUCUCGGUGCACCAAAUGUCGUUUAUCUCCAGUUUUAAAGUCCCUGGCUGUGUUGUGCACUUAUUCACCACGUGGCACUAUUUUACUGUCACCAACAUGAACUUUCUUUCUUUUUUUUCCUACAGGCGAUACAUUAUAUUGUACUUCCACAAUAUUUGUACUCCCGUUUUUAUAGUAAAGUUCUCUCCUUCUUCAUCCAUGAUUUUUUUCGUGCAAAAGAUUUUUCACGUAAAUCUUUCUGUUUUAUUUUAUUUUACUAUUUUGUGGUUUGUCAUUCUCCAUUAACAUAUAUAUCGCUCAUCAAAUGUUUCGAUUGCCAUUUUUCGUUUUUGUUUGUGCGCUCAUCAAACAAUUUUAUUCAUAUGUUAUGAGAAUUUGGAUUUGGUAUUUUGUGCAUGCCUGCAAGAGUAUUUGAACUUUUUCUAGCUAUCCAAUAUUGAUUUUAGUUAUUGAACUUAUGACCUAUGUGCAGUUUGAAAUUAAACUAUAAAUUCAAAAAUUUUCAUCACUUAUUAUUAAGCCAAAAACUAAAAAAAAGAAACAACUUAGCCAAUUCAUAAUUAUGUAAUUUCAUAUAUAUCCAUAUAUAUCGUUGAAGUUGUUUUGACUAAUUUAAGGGGUUGUUUGGUUGCAUGCAUUUCCAACUGUACUAAGUUGGAAAUGCAUGCAUCUAUUAAAUUUGUGUUUCGUUUGGUAUAGUUAGACCAAACUGCUGUAGUUGUAUAUGCACGAGAAGGCCCAAUUGUUGCAAUUGGUAUUGCAGCUAAUUGCUGUAGUACCAAUUGCAGCAAUUGGGCCGGAGUCUGCUCACCCAUUAAAAAAAUAAAUAAAGUGUUUUUUUUUUCACACGCUUCUUUUUUAACUUUUUUUUUUUCAAGAAUACCUAUUCAUAAAAUCUGCUAGGAUUUUAAUAAUGUCUGUUAGGGUUCAAUAAAAUUUUUUAUACGCUUUUUUUUAAACUUUUUUUUUCCAAGAAUAUCUAUUCAUGAAAUCUGUUAGGUUUAAUAAUGUCUGUUAGGGUUCAAUAAUUUUUUUUUCACACGCUUCAUUUUUUGCCAGUUUGCUAAUUCAAUAAUGCCUUAAUUUUUGUUUUGACCAAAUUUAUAGUACGUUUGCAUUUAAAAUUCAUUACAUUCAGGCUAAAUUACAGAAAACCUCCAUGUCAAAAUUCGAUUUUUCACUUUUCCUCCCUGUCAUUUAAAAACUUAUACUUUGCACCCUUGUAAAAUGAAAAAUGUGCACUUCACCCCCUACCGUUAGUAAUCUGUUAGAGUUCCGUUAUAAAAUAUUUUUUUAUGCCAAAAAUACCCCUCCGCCCUCUUCCCUGUUGCUUCGCCUUCCUUCGCCUCGCCGCCGCCUUGCCACCUCGCCACCUCGCCCUCCUCUAUUGCCUCGCCCUCGCCCACAUCUCCGCCCGCGCCCAUAAACACCCCUUCGCCCUUCUCCGUCCCGUCGCCUUCACCCUCUUGUCCUUGCCCACCUCUCCAUCCAUGCCCACCUCGAUCUCCUCCCUACUGUCGCCGAAAUCGAUGGGCGGUGAGGGUGCAGAAGGAGAAGGGGAGCAGGUGGAGAAGAAAAUGGAGAGAAACCGCGGCCGAUCGAGGCGUGAAUCGCAGCCGAUCGAGGCUGUGGUUGAGGAAGAUGAGGGAGGAGACGAAAAUGGUAAGGGGCAAAAUGGUCAUUUUAUCAUCACAGUACACGCCGUACCCCCCCUGUGAACAUUUUUCAUUUUACAAGGGGGCAAAGUGUAGGUUUUUAAAUGACAGGUGGGGAAAGUGAAAAAUCAGAUUUUGAUAGGGGAGUUUUAUAUAAUUUAGCCUUAAAUUUAUACAUAAUUUUGUAAUAUAGAAAUAAUAUAUAGAUAUAAAGUCUUAAUAAAUAACUAAAAGAUCUCAUGAUUAUGCUAUGUAUGUUUACAAGAGGUAAUCUUACAUUUUUAUCUAAAAAUUGAUAGGAUUUACAAAUACAAAUCUCAACUGCAGCCUACCAAACAGAAGAAAUGUAAUCGCAGCAGUUGCAACUGCAUAAAAUCAAACAGACUAGAUAUAGUUAUGGCUGCAGCAUUUACAGCUGCAGGUACUUCCAACUACACUGUCUUUAUAACUAUAUUCAACCAAACGGCCCUUAAUUGUUGUAAUAACAAAAUUGAAAAAUGAUAGUGAUUAUAUUAAGUGUAUCUAGCAAAUUAAUUAACGGAGAUUAUUAAUUAUAGAGUGGGUGACCACAUGACAAUGUGGUAUAUACAUCUCCUUGAUUAAAAACUAUGCUAAUUAAUUCUUAAAUAUAUAUUUGUUAAACUUAUCAAAAUAUCCCGAGGAUUGUAUCAUUUUUUUCCUUUUUUUUUUGUGUGCAUGAGCAUGCAUUAAUGAAUCAAAAAAUUUGACAAGAAAAGGAUGUUAUAUAUACUGAACUCUUAAUUUCAAAAGAAAAUGCUACUAAACAAUGUUGGAAGCGUGAUUAGCUCUGAUACAAUUGUUGGAAUCGGUACUUGUUCUGAUACCAAUUAUAUAAGAUGACGACGAAGUUCGAAUUCAGAAAUUUGACAAGACCAACAAUUUUGCAUUAUGGCAAGUCAAGAUGCGUGCUAUAUUGACACAGCAAGGAUUACAGAAAGUACUGUUGGGAAAAGAAAAAUGUCCGAUUCGUUGAUACCGGAGCAGAAAGAGGAGAUUGAUGACAAAGCUCUCACGGCAAUACAAUUAUAUAUAUCCGAUCAGGUAUUGCGCGAGGUCUUAGAUGAAAAGACUGCUGCAGGGCUUUGGCUUAAAUUGGAGUCUCUCGACAUAACAAAGGCUCUCACUAACAAAUUAUAUUUAAAGCAACGUCUCUUCAAGUUGCGUAUGGCGGAAGGUACCUCUAUUAAGUUGCAUUUAGAUAAAUUUAAUUCUAUUAUUAGGAUCUCCACUCGAUAGAUGUUAAAUCGUCAAGAAGAUGAAGCCUUUUUAUUAUUAUAUUCUCUACUGCCCUCUUAUAAGAAUUUUCGUGAGAUCUUCUUGUUCGGACGAGAUACUCUAUGUCUCAAUGAUAUUAAAUCCUCUUUACUUUCAAAAGAGAGAAUUGACAUGCAGAUAAGCAACGAGACAGGUGGAGCUUCAAGACAAGGUUUGGUCGCUAGAAGGAGGUCUCGGAAGAAGGGUUUCGAUAAUAGAGGUACAUGUAGAUCAAAGUCAAAGCACAAGAAUCUGAUUUAUGGUUAUUGUAAGAAGAAGGGUCACAUAAAAGCUAAUUGUUUCAAGUUGAAAAAUAAAGAACAACGGAAGAAUAACGGUGAUAAAAAUUAAGGUCAGAAAAAUACCAAUACUGAAACAGUAGCAAGUAUUGGAGCAGGAGAAUCAGAUAAAAAUGAUAUCGUCUUCACAGCUACGGAAAAGACACGUAGACAGGAUGAAUGGCUUAUGGACUCCGCACAUGUUCCUUCUAUAUCUGUACGCAUAUAGAAUGGUUCUCGGCGUACAAGCCUAUUCAAGGUAGAGAUGUAUUGAUGGGAAAUCACUUUAAGUGUACAAUUAUUAGAAUUGGCACUGUUCGGGUACGGAUGUUUGACGGAGUAGUGAGGGCUAUAUCUGAGGUUCAGCAUGUUCCGGAUAUGAGAAAAAAUCUGAUCUCAUUGGGUAUACUUGAUACUAAAGGCUUUAAGUGUUCAGCUGAUGGAUUGAUGAAGGUCGCUAAAGGGAAUCUGAGUGAUGAAGGCAGUCCGACAUUAUAUGUUCUACAGGGUUCCACUGUGACAGUUUCAGCAGCGGUGACUUCUUCCUCUAUUUCAGAUUCAAAUAGCACCGAAUUAUGGCAUAUGCAACCGGACCAUAUGAGUGAAUAUGGUAUGAUGAAGUUGGGCGAGAGAGGUUUACUUGGUAGUCAGAGUUUAGAAAAGUUGGACUUCCGCGAGCAUUGUGUUCUUGGCAAACAAAAAAGAGUCAGCUUUAAGGCCGCAGUUCACCGGACAAAAGGUACACUGGACUAUAUUCAUUCUGAUCUUUGGGGACCCUCUCGUACUCCUACUCAUGGUGGUGCUAGAUAUAUGUGACUUUUAUUGACGACUAUUCUUGUAAAGUGUGAGCAUUUUUUCUGAAAAGUAAGAAUGAGGUGUUCAAUUAUUUCAAGCAGUGGAAGGUCAUGAUUGAAAAGCAAACUGAAAAGAAGAUUAAGAAAUUAAGGACCGACAAUAGUUCGGAAUUUUGUUCGUCAGAGUUUGAAGAAUUUUGCAAGAAUGAAUGAAUCGUCAGACAUAAAACCAUUAGGCAUACUCCACAGCAGAACGGGGUGGCCGAACGGAUGAACAAAACUCUUUUGGAGAAAGCUCGUUGUAUACUCUCUAAUGCUGGCUUAGCUAAGAGUUUCUGGGCAGAGGCGAUCUCUAUGGCAUGCUAUUUGGUAAAUCGAUCUCCACAUUCAGUACUUGAUUGCAAAACUCAGGAGGAGGUUUGGUCUGGCAGCCCUUCUGAUUAUUAUAAUUUGCAAAUAUUUGGUUGUCCUACUUAUGCUCAUGUCAAUGAAGGCAAGUUAGAACCUAGGGCUAAAAAGUGCAUUGUUAUUGGUUAUGCAUUGGGGGUUAAAGGAUAUAGAUUGUGGUGUCCUGAAUCGUCUAAAUUAAUUAUUAGUAGGGAUGUCACAUUUGAUGAAUCUGGUAUGUUAUAUCCUAACCGAAUUCUUCUAAUGAGACCCCGAGUGCUAGCAAGCAGGUAGAGGUAGAGACCAAUGGUAUAGUUCAGUCGCAGGAUUUUUCUCAGUCAGAAUAAGUUCAGUCGGCAGACACCUUAGUAACUGAAACUCCAUAAGUUGAGAGGCAGAGUAUUGCUUUAUGCAGAGCGAGGAGAUAGAUCAAACCACCGCAGAGAUACGGUUAUGAAGUUGGUUGCUUACGCUCUUUCAGUGGCACAAGAUACAGAAGAAGAAGGCGGACCUUCCACAUAUAAUUAAACUAUUUCUAGUGCCAGUUCUGCAGAGGGUUGCUGGCGAUGAAUGAGGAGAUGGAGUCUCUCCAUAUGAAUCGCACAUGAGAUUUGGUAAAGCUGCCUACAGGCAAGAAAAUUGUUGGCUGCAAGUGGGUCUUCAAGAAAAUGGACGAAAUCCCCGGCGUGGAAGAUACAAGGUAUAAAGCUCGUUUAGUUGCUAAGGGCUACAGUCAGGUAGAAGGUGUUGACUUUAAUCAUAUUUUCUCACCCGUCGUGAAGCAUACUUCUAUUCGUGUUCUUUUAUCGUUAGUAGCCAUGAAUGAUCUGUAUCUUGAGUAGCUUGAUGUUAAGACAACUUUUCUACAUGGAGAAUUUGAGGAGCAAAUUUAUAUAAAACAGCCGGAGGGAUUCAUUGUUGAAGGAAAGGACGACCAUGUUUGUCUGUUAAAGAAAUCGUUUUAUGGCUUAAAGCAGUCUCCUCGACAAUGGUAUAAGCGGUUCGACUCUUUCAUGACAGGUCGCAGAUAUUCCAGAAGCAAGUAUGACAGUUGCGUAUACUUCAGAAAGCUUAAUGAGGAAUCUUUCAUAUCUUUGUUGCUCUAUGUUGAUGAUAUUUUAAUUGCUUCCAAUGACAUAGUUGAGAUAAAUAAAUUGAAGACUUUACUUAAGAGUGAGUUUGAGAUGAAAGAUCUAGGUGCUGCUAAGAAAUUCUUAGUAUGAAAAUUAAGAGGGACAACAAAUUAGGAUUACUACAUUUGACACAAAAGAAAUAUAUAGAGAAGAUUUUUAAAGCAUUUCAGGAUGACAGACGCAAAAUCGGUGGGCACUCCUUUUGCAGCACAUUUCAGACUUUCCGCCGAGUUAUCACCACAGUCCGAUGAUGAGCAGGAGUACAUGUCACAUGUUCCUUAUUCUAGUGCUGUCAGGAGCAUCAUAUAUGCCAUGGUUUGCACACGGCUGGACAUCUCUUACGCAGUGAGCAUGGUUAAUAGAUAUAUGACCAAUCCUGAUAACGCUCAUUGGUAGGCUGUUAAGUGGAUUCUGAGAUACUUACGAGAUACCAUUAGCACUUGCUUGGAGUUUGGAAGGUGUAAAGAUGGUGUGGUUGGAUAUGUUGAUUCAAAUUUUGUAGGUGAUUUAGAUAGGAGGAGAUCAUUUUCAGGUUAUGUAUUCUCUAUUGGUGGAUGUGUAGUUAGUUGGAAAACUUCAUUGCAACCUAUUGUUGCCUUGUCUACAACGGAGGCGGAAUAUAUUGCGAUGACAGAGGGUGUGAAGGAAGUUAUGUAGCUAAGAGGCUUAUUUGGAGAAUUUACUUCUUGUUGGGAUCCGACGAUUGUUUAUUCAAACAGUCAAAGUGCUAUUCAUUUGUCUAAAGACCAGGUGUUUUAUGAGAAGACAAAACACAUCGAUGUAAAGUUUCACUUUGUUCGGGAUGUGAUUGGGAGACGCACGGUGACUGUUAAGAAAAUUGGUACUGAGGACAAUCCAACGGAUAUGCUUACUAAGUCUUUUAUUAUUGCCAAGUUCAAUCAUUGUUUGAACUUGGUGGCAGGUGGCAGCACUUGAGGCCCUAUGGGGCGUUUGGAGAUGACGAAGCACGGAGCGUUAAGGAACAUUGAGGCGAAUUAAAUUAAAGGUGGUGUUUUGUGGUGAUCUCGAUAUAGCGGUUAAAUUACAAAUUAAACAAAGGUGAAGAUUGUUAAAUUUGGUUUAGAUUUGUAGUUAUCUAAAUUGAGGUUAAAUCCUAAUCUAAUUGAGAUUAGAUAUAAUUUAGAUUUAAUCUGGCAUAUAUGAAUUAUGAGCCGGAAUGUAAUUCAAAUUGAAUUAGAUUAGACUUGCGUUUAGAAAUCCAUUUAGAUUGGAGUACCAAUUAGGCUCUAAUUUGAAGCCACAUCUUUUAUAUAUAUAUAUAUAUAUAUAUGCCGGCUAAGUUAAUGAAGCCGCUGCGCCCAAAUUAGGAAGCCAUGCACUAAUUAAGUCUAGCUUGCUGCGUGGUUCGUACGGCUAAAAGGAGGGAGGCCGAAGCUCUAAUUAAACGUUGCAUAUUAGAGAGAGCCAAGCCGCCGCAAUCCUAAUUAGACCCAUGCCAAUUCCGUACGGCCUUGGGUCUUGAGAGGAGCCCUGUGCGCUAAGUAGCCCUAUGCGCUAAUUAAGGCCAAUUUGUGGUCCAUACAUAUUGGAGAGAGAAGUCAUUUUGGAGUUGCUCGUAGGAGGGUUGCGGCAUUUUCGAUCUAAUUAAACUUUGGUAUUUUGAGAAAUCUUCUUUGUACUCCGUCUUUCGACAUUAAUAAAAUAUUUUCUCUGUCUUCGCCCGUAGACGUAGGCCGUUGGCCCAUUGGCCAAACCACAUAAAAUAUCGAUGUGCUCUUUCUUCUUUUUUUUUUCUUUUCCUGCAUUAAGUUAUUUUCUGGAUCUAUUUUUCGCUAUUAUAAUUUUAACACAUAUAAUCUAUGAGAAUAUAAUAUAAAUAAUAGACUAAUGAUUCUCGAUCAAUCAACAAAAAAAAUCUAUAUAUAUUUGCAGGCCAUAGUAUAUAUAGUUAGUCAAGGGAGCUAAUGAAGGAUACGAGUGUAACAUGCAUGCAAUAAUAGAAUAACGUUGAUAGUACAAUAUAAAUAUAUAUUAGAAGCCACAUGUAUCAUGCGAAUCAAAAACACAUAAAUUUAUUAUUGAAAUACAUAUAGACGAAUACGAAGUGUUUGCUUAUUCAAAACAAGUACAGACUACCAAUUAAUUAACUAUUAAGAUUAUGUAUAAAAUAAUGAGUGUCCUUCAAGCUAGCUAGUAUUUGUUGUUAAUUGCUCUUUAUCACUUAGAACUGAGUUUGGAGCCAAUCUACAAUCUUCUUAUCCAAUUGAAAUGCCUUGGCAAGAAUAUCAUCGGAGAUGGGAGGGUUCGACUUGAAGACUGCGUUAGCUAUAGUGAUCAGGCCAGGGUUCUGACUGCUGAGACCUGAAAUGCCAAAGCCACUUGUCUUUCCGAUAUUGAAUUGAAAGUGAAUAAGCCCUUCGGGGAACACGAACACAUCGCCCUUGUUCAAAACUUUAGAGAAGAGUUUGUUAUCGGGGUUAGAUGUAACAAAACCGACAUAGAAUGUGCCUUCCACUACCGUGAAGACCUCAGUCGCUCGCGGGUGAGUGUGAGGUGGGUUGAGACCAUAGGGUGCAAAGUCCAAUCGUGCUAAGGAAAUGCCGAGCGUGUUGAGUCCGGGAAGUGCCAUUGCGUUAACUAGAUUCGCAUUGAACCCGAGUUUAUUCAUUGUGUUACCAGGCUGGUCGAGCCCCUCGAAGAAGAAAUCUUCGGGCGUGGUAAAGUUCGGAUUCUUGCAAACAAGUCCAUUCACAAACACUGCAAGAACAAAAACAUAAUCCAACACAAAUUCACUAAAUAAUCAUGUUAAAAUGUUCUAGAGAAGAAAAAAUAUAAUAAAAUAAGAAGAGGGCGAGGACACAUGCACACCUGGAGAGUUCUUAUCGGCAACGCAAAAGUCUUGGAGAGGACUUGGAUCGGAGGCAAUGGCUUGAGAAAACACAAGGGCAAAGAGAGCAAGGAGGAGAAAGCGAGAAGCCAUUUCUAUAAUAUAUCUCUUCUUAAUUAGCUAGUAGGCACGUAGAAGAUGCAAAUGAUUGAAUGUGCUGUGGUGCUAAUGGGUUAGACGAGAUGGGUAUAUAUAGAGGAUAAGGCUACGAAAGAGUCGUUGUACGUAGCUACAUUGUUAGAGGAAUAGUUCGUAUUACAACGUUAAUUAGGUAUAGUAAUUAAUUGAACAUGUCAAUGCCAAGUAAGAUUUUCUCUUUUGUACACGUUUCUUUGGCUAAUUAUUUCUUAUUAAUUUCUUAGUUAAUUAAGAUAUAUAGUUUUUCCUUCACCGUCUCUCUCUCGCUCUCUCUCUCUUUAGACACCGAAUAAAUUUAAGAUAGUUGAAGAAUUAAAGUUAAAAAGACUACUAAUGCAUGACUCGUCCUAGGUAUGCGAAUUGCAAUUUUCUUUUUUUGUAUGAAAACUUCAAAGGCUACUUUUCUUUCCAAACAAGACUUGAUUAAUUUAACAGCUUAUCUCUAGAAGCUAUGUAUAAACACAAUCUUACAUUGAUUUCUAGUUAAUUAAUUUUGUGAUAAAUUUAGAAACUUUUUUUUCCUAGUUCUAAUCAACUGAGUCAAAAAAAGGGACACCGGGUUCAUAUUAAAAAACUCAUCUUAUAAACUAGGUAGUUUAUAAUUAAUUUAUUCAACUGCUCCCUUGAACAGGUGCUCCGAAAUUAGAUUGCUUAGCUACUCCUCAAAAUGAUGUCAUGAGUUCAAAAAAUUAAUCGCAGCAUGUUUUUUUUUUUAUCUCCGUAAUUAGAUGAUGAAAGAAGCAUAAAAGGUACCAAUAGUUCCGUCACAACUUGGUCCUUAUUUUUUAUCCUAACUUAAACAUUUUAGUUUGUAAACUUUUGUGUACACUAUAUUUAUAGUGUAGUCUCAAGCCUUGAGUUUGUUUUCAUAAUAUGUUGAUUUUACCUCUCUUUUUCUUUGCAAAAUUACUAGCUUAUGGCCAAAAAACAGCUUUAAUCUUUAGAACGUCGACUCAUCCAAUUCACCUAGGAAAGAACAGAAUUUUAAAAGAAAUUAGGUUGAAAAUAUGAAGAACUAUUUUCUAGCUUAUAGUAAUAAUAAUCAUAGAAACCUUUCUUUAACUUAGAGAGAGAGUGAGAAAAAAAAAGGAAAAAAAAAGAGCUUAUAUCCAAGAGGGCGCAUGACUUAUAUAAGUCACACGAAUCUAACAACACAUAAAUUUUAGGAUUUGGUGGACUAAUAUAUAAAAUGAUUAAUUUCAUAUAGUUUCCGGCAAAUAUAGUGAAUUGUAAAUAUAUUUAUAGAAAGUUCAACUUUCAUAUGUUGUCCAUACAAAAAUCCUGAUGUUUUCAAAUAUGUCCUUAACGUUAGAAUCUGUUCUAAAAAUUUAGUUAAUAAUAAAUAAAAUACUUUAUUCUAAUCUAUACCCUACUAUGAAUCCCUCUAAUUUUAUCCACAUGGCAGGUUUUGCUUAAUUUGUGUAUGUGGGGACCCACCUCGUCCAGUUAUAGUAUUUUGGCUUAAUUAAGUGCAUGUGGCCGACCCCACCCUGCUGUUUUAGGCGUUUAAGAAAAAUCUUAGUGGACCUCUAAUUUUAUCGACGCGGGAAAGCGUUUGCUUGUUGAACAAAUACGCUGUAUCGCGGCCCACCUGUCAGUUAUAGUAUUUUGGCUGGCCGGUUCGGUUUAGAGAAAAAUAAUUAAGUGCAUUUUUAUUAUAUGGCUGUGGGACCCAUCGCUUUCGGGUUGAUGAGGUAACUUUUUGAGCCAUCCGUCUUCCAUUGCUCUGGGUUCGCUUCGUCGCCUCGGGCCGGUUCGGUUCGUCGCUUCUGGAAGCCAUCGUUGCCUGGUUCGGCUUCGUCCGCUGUCGGCCAUCGAUGCCGCGUUCGCGUUCAUCGCUUCCGAAGCCAUCAAAUUUUCUUCCUAUGAACAGAAAAAUAGGGGCCAAAGUGCACGCGACAUCGAUUUGGCCUGGCCCUCCCUGCCAGUUCCAUUGGCGCCGCUUCAUUCCCCGUCGGAAAUGGUUCCCCUCUCGACCUCUAAAAAUGGAUCUCGAUUUCUAUUAUCGCUUCGUCUUCCAACGCCGCAUCGGCACGUUCGCCGGUCCGUUCCUUUCUUUGACGUACGCUUCGAAAACCGUCGAAUUCCUUCGCACUGUUUCCAGUAGCGCCGAAGAGUGGUCUGCCUUUUCCCAUACCUCUCAGUGCCUAUUAUAAUGGUCAUCUGCCUCCUCCUUUCCUUCGCAGUCCUGGCGACAUCUCUUCUUCUGAGAAGAACUUUUCACAUUUCUUCUCAGAGCCAAGAAUAUUAAGAAGGGUAUUGAACGUUUGAGUAAAUUUUGUCAAUUGAGUUAUUAUUAUUAUUUAUUAUUUUGCUAAUUUGGAUUGCCUUAACUGAGUAUUUAUUUAUUUGUUUUCAGGAAGCCUAACAAAAUCUGGCCUGAAAAUUGUUCAGGAUCUGCAAUCAUGUAAGUUUUCAGCUACAUCGAUUUUUUAAUUUUUUUUUUUUUUUUUGGUUAAUUUGGGAAUUGCUUUACUAUUUAAUUUUAGAAGUUUUAAAUACUAAGUAUUUAUUAAUUUGAUUCCAGGAAUCUAACAAUAUCACACCAGAAAAUUGUUCAGAUCUGAAUCUGAUAAGCUUCUCAGUUCAUCUAUUUUUUAGAUAUAUCUAUGCUUAUUGUAUACAUCGUGUCUGAUAUAAAUGUUUUAAAAAAAAAAAAUCACUAGAAACUAAUUGUGUGAGACAAUACUUAUACAUAUUAACAAUAAUAUGACAAUAAAGUUUACCUUCUUCCGAAAAAUUUGUUUAUCUAAAGAAAAAUAAUUUGGCCAUUAUAGUUUAAUUUUCAGUAUUUUCAAAAUUUUAAUUUGAUGAACAAAUAUAUUGAUUUUUCGUUUAGAGAAAUAUAAUCUUAGCAUGUGGGGACAUGCCUGACAAUUUUUUCUUUCCUCUUUAAAUAUUAUAUAUAGAGGCAUGUGGGUUGCAUAAAGAUGUGUUUUCAGAAUUGAAUGGAAAUUUACAUGUUUGUAAAAUAGACUUAUGUUGUAUGGCAAUUAAAAAUGUGAGAAGCUUUUUGUGUCUUGAUAUGAUUUAGAUUUCUUUACAUUGAAUGCAAAGUUUAUUUUAUUUUCAAUUAUCACAUAUUGCUAUUAUCUGCUUACAUAGAAGUGAAACUUUGUGAAAAAAUUUUACUAAUACUCUAUGGCAGUUGAAAUGAAAGGAUUUAUUGUGUCUUGAUUGUUACUUAAUUUUCUACACCAUGAGUGCCACAAAGUUUAUUUAUUUGUUUAAACUUGUGUUCGCAGAACUAUUUUACACAAUAUCGUUUUUUCUUUAGUUUUUCGCUAUACACAACUUAUGAAAAAAAAUGAUGUUUUAGGUGGAAUUUGUUGUGCCUCUUCACAUAUAUGGUUCUUGGAAUAGUAAUUUUUCUUUCUUGAAAUAAUUCGAAGUAUGGCAUUAUUUAUUAUGACUUGCAUGUGUAAAGAAAUUAGUAAGUGUGACCGUAAUGAACUAACUGUGAUAUUAUUUUUAGUCAUUAUAAAGCGAAAAAAAUUAGGCAUAUUAUCCUAAACAAUGUGAAUUAUAAAUUCGGCAAGGUCGGAUGUCAUAAAAUACCAUUGGAACUAGCCAUCAGUACACGAUGGCAUCCAUCUAUCUAGCUUUCGGACUCAGCUUCCGCCCGUUUUUGUUGACGUAGUGUUUGUUCAAAAUUUUUCCCCUUCCUCUUCCGAAGUAUGGAAUCACUUUAGGUUCGCUGGUGGUCAAUUAUGAUUCAUUUGUGGGAUGUGGCGGUCCCUAGAUGGUAGUCGAUUUAUGGGAGGUUAUUACCGUGUUUGGGGUUCCGCCUUCUACAGAUUCUAAUGAGACCGAGCGAGGAUGCGCUUAGGGUUGCAGUCGAAACACUACGCAAAGAGCUUGAUUUCGAAAUUUAGCGGAUGCUAAUGUAUAAACUGAGAUAUUUCAUUUAUUGACUUAAACCCUUUUGUUUGACGAAAUGUUUUUUGUGUUAAUUAUAAUUAUAGUUAUUCGUCAAAUUUCAGGAGAAACGAGUGUUAAAAACGGAGAAGUUACAGUGACCCGGAAGUUCGAUCAAGUGAAUAGCUAACUCCGGUUUUCCGGAGAGCCCGAGUAGAGUGGACUUUGACGCGCGUAUCGGACUCCGAUAUAGCUUCCAAUAGUCGUUUUCAACUGCGUCGACUAUCCUGGACCAAUGCACUGCACGGAAUUGCAAUUGGCUGCCACGAUUUCGAAGAAAAAGGGGUUAAUUGGUUUUUACAUAUGAUUAUACCUGAUAUGUGGUUUAUGGGUGGAAGAUUUGAGUCGAGGGCAGGUAUCGUCGCUGAUCGGAGACCAAAUCAGACGAAAAUAUAAAUGCUAUCAUUCGCAUGCCCAGUCGUGCUGAACACGCCUGGCGCAAUCGUCGGAAAUCCGACGGACGGAUCUUCGGCGGAAUCGUGAAAAGUCCGCUAAGAGGUCAGUAGCAAAAUCGAUUAAUCGCGAAAAGGUCAAUAUUUUAUGCGCGGUUCGUGCGCAAUUUCGAUUGUAGAGGGACUAUACGGAAUAAUCCACAUGUUGGCAGGGGGCUUGUAAAAAGGGUAUUGCGAUAGGGAGGGGUUUUCACACAUUCAGUUUAUAGUAUAAAGGUGAGGUUUUAGGGUUCAGCCAGGGAAACCCUAACCCUAAUCAUUCUCCAGGCUGCUGCCUAACCGCCCCAUAACCACCCUGCCCCAACUUGUGCGCACGCCCCGGCGCCGUGCGCUGCAACUCCGGCCGCCGGAAAAGUCACCUCGGCCACCUCUCAGCGUCUCCCCUAGCCGACUGCCACCCCCUUUUUCGAUGUUGUGCUCGGGAAAGCUUCAAAGCCGAGCUUCCCCCUCCCUUUGCCGGUUCUCCGGCCGUCCUCCCCCUCGCCCGGCCACCCGAACUGCCGCACGGAGCACCCCGGCUCCCUGCAGCCAGCCGGCUGCAGCCAGACCGAGCCGGCCUCGAGUGACUGCGUCCUCGCCUUGCUUCGCCGCGCCGCCUCAGUCGGCUUUCGGUGAGCUCCGGCCAACCCGUCGCAGCGCGCGUCCCCCGCCGUGCCGCGCUGUCGGCGUCGGCGCCGCUGAGAAAUUCCUGGGGCGCCAGGCACGUGCGGGCGGCCAGAGGUCGGGCCCGCCAGCUUCUUGGCGCUGCGCAGCCCACCGUAGAGGUGACGACCUCCCCUUCGACCACCGGCGCGACCGUCGCCCCCGCCUCCUCCGGCGCCGCCGGACGCCGCGGGAGCAUCAAACCCGCAGAUGAGAAAGUGGUGAAGGGUCGAUCAUCGGCCCGCCGCACCACCGUGCGCCCGCCGCCGGCCAGCACCUCCCCGACCUCCUGGACGACAUGCUCCCUCCUCGCCGGACGCCGCUCCCGGCGCCGGCGCCACCCUAGCUCUCCUCGGGUCCGGUAAGGGCAUUUUACGUUCCAGCACUGUUUUUUGAGGUUCCGGUCUCCUUUUCGGUGAUCCGAAAAGCCUCCUAAGCUUCGGGAAGUGAGCACGAUGAUCUACAACUCGUGCUGAACAUCGUGCUCACCUCCAAUAGCAGCAAUGAUGCCCUGGUUUGCGAGUUAGUCGCGAUCUUCGCGCUGUGCGCGCAGUUUAUCUGAUUUUCACAUCGCUCGUGCGCGCACCGCAGUGGCCGGCAGUGCUCCGAAAGGUGAGCACGGCCUCCGACAUGCUGAAACCUGUCAGCGAGUACGACGGUCGGAUUAAUCGGCCCCUGGUUUGUGCGCACGGUCCAGAAAAGUCUAGAAAUCACAUGAAAUGAUGCAAUUCAUGUAUCGGUAUCGGCUUUUAGGCUUUCUGCUUCGUUGUAGAUGCUGUGGACAGCGUGUAAAUGCUGAGGGUAACCUCUGGACUGAUCGUCCAAGGCCCCAAGCCUUUGCGGAAAUCGUAAAGUGACUUCCGGAGCGUUUUUCGGCGAAAUCCGCCGAUAGAACGCGGUUUCGGUUCGGAAUUCUUCCGAUGGUUCUUGGGGAUCAUUUGUUUCGUCGCUGAGCCUUGUUGGCUGGUCACCUGCAUCGUUUCGUGGGCUUGGAAACGACAGGUGAGCGACAGCGAAGUUCCAGUGCGGUUUUCGGGACUUCCGGUUUGUACGGUAAGCGGUUUUGGGAAACUAUUUUUGUGGGGCUAUGAGCGGGGGUUGUGAGUUAGCUUUUCAUGUCAGUGGGUUAGACCUUAACCCGUUGGACCUUUCGUAGGUUCGGUUGCACCGUCUUCACAGUCGAGAGACCUUCGUCAAAUACAUACAGGUGGGUACUUCGACCCGUAGUCGGUACAGUGGUGCACGCUCGGUGACGUUUCUUCACCCCUACUGUUUACUCUAUCUUAUAGUUAUAUUGAGCCUUGCAUCUGCAUUUAUAUCUACAUUUCUCUACUCAGUUAUUUCCAUAUUGAUAUCAUGCUUAGGAGUAGAGUUGAUUUAUCUAUUCACUAUCAGUGAUUUGGUUGGGGCGGUUCCCCCUAUUGUGAUACCUAUGACCUGUUCGGUCGAGUUGCUACAGUUCCAUCUUGACUUACGUAGCCGAUUAGUUGCUGAUGGCCUAUACGGCCGGUGUGCCCUGAGGGGCCUGGAUUGUCGGCUAGUUGCCGACGGAUGAUCUUUGAGCAUACUACAUUGAUCGCCACUACAGGUACGCAUUUCACGAACACCAGCGGUCUGAUCCACCGCAAGAGGGUGUUCUUUUUCGGAAAAGUGGUUGGAUUGCCAACCCGUGAGCCCAGGGGCUUCAUUGCGAGGGUAUAUGCUUCUGACCCAGGGGCUUCAUUGCGAGGGUCAGGUACAGGUUGCAGUGUGGCAUGAGCCUGAGGUCUUCGGACCAAUAGGGCAGCGAGAUUGGGUACUUUUGAGCUUUUCGUCAGUUGACGCAUGCAUACAGUAGCUGUAGUGUUUAUUUCCAGUACAUCCUUAUCUGUUUAUUGUAGCUACUGUUUUACUUACCUGCAUCUAUACUUGUCAGCUCCUUACUUAUCAGCAUAUUUACUUAUCAACACUUAUAUCUAUCUAGUUUUCCGUGACUAGUGAGUACCCUCGCCCUCUACGGCUUGCGGUACCCACUGGGAGGGGAGACAUGUUUACAUGUUCUCACCCCCCGCCCCCAUUACAGGUGACGUAGCAGGUCCGAGUGGGACAGCUGGUGAGGAGCGUGUCUAGCGUGCGAUAGAGCUCCUUCCCGAGUCGGUUAUCCCUUUUACCCUUCAUGCUCGAAUAAAUACUUAGACAUAUUAUGGUUCAGUUUCUAUUUUAUUAUCUGACUAUCUGAGUUUUCAAUUGGUUUUGAAAUGUACUAAAGGAUUGGAGUUAUCUUAAAAUAAAACAGUUUUCUACCCCUCGUGGUAGCUGGUUUUGAAAAAGAAUGGUUCCCGUGUAGGGAUCAGUUUUCAAAUUGAUUUCUCUGUGGAUUUAUGGAUUUAGUAUUUCAAAAUCAGUUUCCAGGUAGGAAACAUUUUUAACUGAUAGAUGUGGAAUGUUAUGCAUAUUCAAGUUUCAUAUCUGUGUGUGUGAAUGGAAUGGAUGAAUGUUAUCUAUCUUGUUGUUCAUCUGGUUGUGGUUGUGAUUAUGUGUGUACUUAUACUCUGUUGUACUUGUGCGACGCCGUGCAAAUAUAGGGGAGACUCUGUCCGUGUGAACAGUGGAACUCCUGUAUUUGUGGCGGAUCUGGCACACUCUGGGGGCAGGUUUUCAAAAAAAAAAUUUCAGACGCUUUUCCGCUACCUUUUAAACAAAAAGGGACCCCGGGGCGUGACAGAUUAAAGUGGUAUCAGAGCCAAGUUACAACCACAACUCCAUUCACAGACUGUUUUUGAAAAUAAAAAUAAACUGAACCAUUGGUUAGGUUGACCCUAGGAAGACCCACGAUGUAUAGGCACGUGAGUGCGGGGUUUGGGCUCGAGUUCUGGUUGUUAGUAGUCGAGUUGAUUUUUCGAUUGACGGUGUUUCUGUUACAGAUGGCUCGUGGCAGACCUCCUCUUCGUGGACGUGGUGGUGGACGCGCCGCAGAGGGCUCUAUCAAUAGCCCUGGAGAGCAGGCCCCGAGAGGCAGAGGCAGGGGCAGGGGCAGAGGGGAGCAGAUCAGCCCAGAUCCGCAGGGCGAUACUCGUGCCCAGCAGCUCGAGGCUGAGGUAGCAGUGAUGAGGGGUCAGAUGACAGCCCUCACUGGGUCGGUUCAGCAGCUCCAGCAGCUUUUACAGCAGCACGCUGCAGCUGCUGUUCCCCCGGUACCACCCCCGACGCCGCCGGUUCCUGAGGCAGCUGCCCCUCAGGUGGCGCCUGCACAGGCGGUCCCUCCGACCGUCCCGAGGACGACGACGACCACCACGACGGUUCCCACUGGGGGUGCUGAUGCCCCAGCAGCUGAGGGCGCCCGUAUGCGUGCGAAGCUGAUCGAGUUCAGGAAGUUCGACCCGCCGAAAUACGCGGGGAAGAAGGAAGAGAAUGGAGUUCUCGAGCGCUGGCUGACCGACAUGGAGAAACUACUCGAGGACUUAUUCAUCGAUGAGCACGAUCCCGUCCCCUUGGCCGCCCACUUGUGGACGGGACGCAAGCUCUUGGUGGCGUCGAAUCUAUCGCUCCAAGCUGGCAAUGUUUUCUCCUCUCUGGGGGGAGUCCGGUGAGACUCACUCACGAGCAAUUCUUUCGGGACAACUCAAAAUUAGAGCUGGAGGCGCGAGCUAGAACGUCCACCGGGCAGGUCCGUAGCUGAGUACGAGCCGACUUUCUCUCGCAUUGUCGGAGCCUGAUUCCCUUCGUAUCCGAGACAUCCGCCAACAAGGCCAGAGAGUCUUCGGAGGGCUUGAGACCAAAUCAGGAUGGUGCUGGGCCUUCAUAGCACGAUGACAUUAUAGUGUUGUACCGCAGCCCCUCAUCCAGAGCGAGUCUACAGUUCCUGCUGCAAAAGGAGGCUGGAGCGAUCGGGGGGACAGAAGCGUUCCCAUUCUAGACUGGGUGGCGGUCCUCUUCCAACAAGCAAGAAGCCACCAAAUGCCCUCGCACUCAGCAGUUCGCGAGGAGUGCACCCUCUGGCAUCAAGCGACGAGGCAGUCGACCCGUGUGAUUUGUGCAGGCAAGCACACCGGGUGACCGAAUGUCCGCAGAUGAGGGACCACUGCUUCCAUUGUGGCCAGCCGGGCCAUCUACAGGCUCGAUGCCCUAUGAGAAAUGGGGCCACGCAGAGCGCCGCUUCCUCCCCAGCAGCAUUCCGACAGGACCGCGGAGCUUCCAGCGCAGCUGCACCGUCUGGGCGUCCCUCUUCCUCACGUCAAAAUGAGGGGGCGCGCAAGGCAUCUGGUGGACGGGUCUUCGCCCUGACUCAGCAUGAGGGCAACACUGGUGGCGACGUCCUUGUAGGUAUUGUCACCCUCUCCAUCACUCGUGCUAAAGCUAUAUUCGAUACUGGAGCAUUGCACUCAUUCAUUUCGCAUUCAUUUGCAUGUGAGCAUGGUAUUCCCUCGCGUCCACUAGAUAUGCCGCUCCGUGUUGACACGCCCGGGGGUGAUCUAUUAGCUGAUCGAUGCAUCCCAUCAUAUCCUGUCAUCUUGGAUAAUCAUAGUUUUCUGGCGAACCUGGUGGUACUUCCAAUGAAGAAGUUUGACGUAGUGCUUGGGAUGGACUGGUUCACCAGGCACCGCGCUACUAUCGACUGCGAGCGGAGGACGGUGACUUUUAUUGGGCCCGGUGAAGAAGUAUUCGUCUAUCGAGCGUGUAAGAGCUCUUACUUCGCCGCGUCUAUCUCUUCUGCUAGAGCUAAGAGGCUUAUAAAUGCCGGAUGUGUGGCCUUUUUGGCUUCCGUGGAUGUUACCCACCGGGCUGCACCAGCCUUGGAGGAGAUUCCAGUUGUCCGGGAUUUUCCGGAAGUGUUUCCAGCCGAACUUCCGGGAAUGCCCCCGGACCGAGAAAUCGAGUUCUUCAUCGAGCUAGUUCCGGGCACAGCACCGAUUUCGAAGGCCCCCUAUCGCAUGGCCUUCGCUGAGCUGAAAGAGCUGAAGGCUCAACUCGAGGAUCUCCUGGAGAGAGGAUUUAUCCGACCCAGUGUGUCUCCCUGGGGUGCCCCUGUUCUCUUCGUCAAAAAGAAGGAUUGUAGUCUUCGACUGUGCAUCGACUACCGAGAGCUCAACAAGGUCACAGUGAAGAACAAAUAUCCACUGCCCCAAAUUGACGAUCUAUUCGAUCAGCUUCAGGGAUCGUCGGUAUUUUCAAAGAUCGACCUUCAGUCAGGGUACCAUCAGCUUAAGAUCCGGGCAGAAGACGUGCCGAAGACCGCUUUUCGAACUCGUUACGGCCACUACGAGUUCACGGUGAUGCCUUUCGGGCUUACUAAUGCCCCGGCAGCCUUCAUGGAUAUGAUGAACAUGGUCUUUCGGGCGUACUUGGAUCAGUUUGUCGUGGUAUUUAUUGACGAUAUCCUGAUCUACUCGCGGAGUGAUGAGGAGCACGAGGAUCAUCUUCGGCGAGUACUGCAGAUACUCCGAGAGCACAAGUUAUAUGCUAAGCUCAAGAAGUGCGAAUUCUGGCUUCGUGAGGUAUCUUUCUUGGGGCAUAUUGUGACUCCAUCGGGCAUUACAGUGGAUCCGAAGAAAAUAGCCUCAGUGGUCGAGUGGCCUGAGCCGACUUCAGUGACAGAAGUCAGGAGUUUCCUGGGAUUGGCGGGUUAUUAUCGGCGAUUUGUCGAGGGCUUCUCCAAGAUCACCGCACCGCUGAACAAGCUUACCAGAAAAGGAGAACGAUUUCAGUGGACUGAGCAGUGCCAGCAGGGCUUCGACGAGCUGAAGGAUCGACUGACCCGAGCACCCGUUCUGACUCUGCCGCGGCCUGGUGAGGACUUUGUGGUCUAUUGUGAUGCCUCACGGGUCGGUUUGGGGUGCGUGCUUAUGCAGCAGGAUCGGGUCAUUGCUUACGCCUCUCGUCAGCUAAAGCCGUAUGAAAAGAAUUAUCCAACUCACGAUUUGGAGCUUGCAGCAGUGGUGUUUGCCCUUAAGCUGUGGAGACACUAUCUAUAUGGGGCACACUGCGAGGUGUUCACUGAUCAUCAGAGCCUGAAGUACCUCUUCACUCAGAAGGAGUUGAACCUCAGGCAGAGGCGUUGGCUCGAGCUCUUGAAGGACUAUGAUCUCACCAUACAUUAUCAUCCGGGAAAGGCGAAUACAGUAGCGGAUGCCUUGAGCCGGAAACAGCCUUCGGGAGAGUUGACCUUCAUGAUCACGAGCCAGGAUCGUCUGGUAGAAGAGUUUCGCCGUCUUGAGAUCGAGGUUGUUUCCACAGGAGUUAUGGCCCAGUUGAUGUCUCUGGUGGUACAGCCUACCCUGACAGAGCGGAUUACACUCGGACAGCAGAGUGACCCGUACUUACAGAAAGUGCGGGCGGAGAUCGAGCAGGGCAAGGACGGGGACUUUACUAUCCACACCGAUGGAUCCUUGCGUUUCAAAGGCAGGUGGUGCGUGCUUAGUGACUCGGAGCUGAGAAGCGACAUCCUAUCCGAGGCGCAUCAAUCCCCUUACACAGUUCAUCCAGGUGGAACCAAGAUGUACCGCGACCUGAAACAGAAUUUCUGGUGGCCUGGGAUGAAGCUAGAUGUGGCUCAGCACGUGGCUCGAUGCUUGAUUUGUCAGCAGAUAAAAGCCGAGCACCAGCGACCGGCAGGGAAGCUGCAACCACUUCCGAUCCCCGUUUGGAAGUGGGAGCAGAUUACUAUGGAUUUCGUCACUGGAUUGCCUCGAUCACAGCGAGGGCAUGAUGCGAUCUGGGUUAUAGUGGAUCGGCUGACGAAAUCGGCUCACUUCCUAUCGAUGCACACGACGUGGUCCCGUGAUCGACUGGCACAGUUGUAUAUUGACGAGAUUGUCCGGCUUCAUGGUGUGCUAGUGUCGAUUGUAUCUGAUCGAGACACUCGCUUCGUUUCCCACUUUUGGAGGAGUUUACAGCAGGCUAUGCGAACGAAGCUGAACUUUAGUACUGCAUUCCAUCCCCAGAGUGACGGGCAGUCAGAACGAGUCAUCCAGACUCUUGAGGACAUGCUUCGCGCCUGUGUCCUGGAUUACGGCGAUGGAUGGUUUCGAUAUCUACCACUGGUGGAGUUCGCCUAUAAUAACAGCUAUCAGGCGAGCAUCGGGAUGGCACCGUACGAGGCUUUAUAUGGGCGUCGAUGUCGAUCUCCUAUCUGUUGGGAUGACGUCGGGGAACGCCGGUUGAUCGGGCCAGACUUAGUGGAGGAUGCGGAGGCAAAGAUCCGCAUUGCGAGAGAGCGGCUUCAAACUGCACAGAGUCGACAGAAGAGCUACGCGGAUCAGCGGAGGCGUGACCUGAAGUUUCAGGUCGGUGAGCAUGUGCUACUCAAGGUGUCGCCUUCCAGGGGGAUCAAGCGGUUUGGUUUGCGGAACAAGCUUAGUCCUCGGUUUGUGGGACCGUUUGAGAUCCUAGAGCGCGUUGGUCCAGUGGCGUACAGGUUGGCUCUUCCUCUAAGUCUUGCCCGUGUGCACAAUGUCUUUCACGUGUCCAUGCUUCGGAAGUACAUUCCAGAUCCGUCUCACGUCAUCAGUCCGACGUCUAUUCAGCUACGGGAGGAUCUGAGCUAUGUGGAGGCUCCGAUGAGGAUUUUGGCAUGUGAGGUGAAGCAACUACGGAAGAGGAGCAUUCCGUAUGUAAAGGUUCAGUGGGCAAAUCAUGAGGAGCGUGAGGCUACGUGGGAGCUUGAGUCUUCUAUGCGGGAGAGUUAUCCGCAGUUGUUUACAGGGGAUGUUUAAUUUAAGUUUCGGGGACGAAACUUUUUGUAAGGCGGGAAUAAUGUAAUAACUGAAAUUUUUGAAAAAAUAAAAUUAAACCCUUGGUUGACGAUGCUUUUGUGUGUAAUAUAAUUACUAAAGCACUCGUCAAAUUUCAGGAGAAAAUGAGCUAAAAUGGAGAAGUUACGCGACCCGAACCGAUGACUUAAGUGAAUAGUAACUCCAGUUUUCCGGAUGAACCAAUGAAUAGAGAAGGGUUCUGGUGCACGCUCGGUGACGUUCCUUCCACCCUUCCUGUUUACAUUGCUUAUCAUAUACAUUGCUUAUCAUAUUAUCCUCGUAUUACUCUACUCGGUUGUUUCCAUGCUCAGUAUCUUGUGUAGGAGUAGAGUAGAUUUCUUCAGCAUAUGAUAUCUGUGAUCUGGUUGGUUGAUUUUCCUUUGUUGUAUCUAUGACCUGGUUGGUCGAGUUUCAUACUCCAUACUUGUGACCUGGUUGGUCGAGUUUCAUACUCCGUACUUGUGACCUGGUUGGUCGAGUUUCAUACUCCCUAUUUGUGACCUGGUUGGUCGAUUCGGUUACAUGAUGACCCAUGCGGUCGAUGGGUCCUGGGGGGGGGGGGGCAGGAUUGUCGGCUAGUUGCCGAUGGUUGAUCGUUGAGCAGAUUGCAUUGAUCGCCCGAUACUCGUCGCAUUUCACGAACACUGGCAGUCUGAUCCACCGCAAGGAGUGUUCUUUUCCGGAAAAGUGGUUGAAUGGUGACAACCCGUGAGCCCUAGAGGGGUUAUAUGCACUGGAGAGUAGUAGUGGCAUUGGCUUGAGGUCUGCGGUGCUGACCAAGAGAGCAUUGGGUUCAGAUUGGGUACUUUUGGACUGAUUGUCCCGUUGAUGCAUACAUAUAGUAGCUGUAGUUGUUCAUUUAUAUACACUUCAGUAUUUGUUUAUUUUAGCUACUGUACUACGAUUAUCCAUAUAUUUGUUUAUCUCCGUGACUAGUGAGUACCCCUUGCCUUCUUCGGCUUGCGGUACCCACUAGGAGGGGAGACAUGUUUACAUGUUCUCACCCCCCGCCCCCAUUACAGGUGACGUAGCCGGUCCGAGUGGGACAGCUGGUGAGGAACGGGUCUAGCAUACGAUAGAGCUUUCCGUCCCGUGGUUUGGUUUAUCUACUCUUACUCUUCAUAAUUAAAUAAAUAACUAACUUAGACAUAUUAUGGUUCAGUUUUAUUUUACUAUUUGGAUAUCUGAGUUUUCAGUUUGUUUUGGAAUGUAAUAAAGGAAUUUGUGUUUUCUUGAAAUGGAAAUGGUUUUCUACCCCUCGUGGUAGCGUUUUGAAAAGUUAAAAGUUCCUGUGUAGGGAACAGUUUUCAAAAGAUUUUCUGUGGAUUUUGUAUCUUAGUAUUUCAAAACCUGUUUCUGUGGUUGCAAACAUUUUAACUGAUAGAUGUGGAUUUAUAUUUAAAUAGCGAAUGUAAAUUUGUGAAUCUGUGGUGAAUGGUGUAUGAAUGUAUAUCUGUGGUUGUUUGUAUAUUCAUCUGGUUGUGGUUGUUGUAUGAUUGAACUCUUGUACUUGUGCGACGCCGUGCAAAUACAGGGGAGACUCUGUCCGUGUGAACAGUGGAACUCCUAUGUUUGUGGCGGAUCUGGCACACUCUGGUGUCAGAUUUUUAAAAAAAAUUUUCAGACGCUUUUCCGCUACCCUUUUAAACUAAAAGGGACCCCGGGACGUGACAGAUGACACCCCAAUUCCCACAUCGAAUGGGAAUGGGGUUGUCAUUGGGUUUAUAUGAGACUUAGACACUAGUAAUAAUAACUGGGCUUAAGCAUUUUGGGCCAGUGGUUGGGCCCAACGAGUUAUUGUUGCUAGUGGGCUGGGUUGUUACAUUUGGUAUCAGAGCCUGUUCACCAGCUGACAUGUGUGGCGAGUCUCGGCUGAGCCAGGGUCUGGAUAACGGGCUAGCGAGACGAGUCUCACAUAGCCUGGUGAUCUUGGGCUGUGUGUGUGAGGACUGACGAGGACGUCAGGGCCUUAAUGUGGGGAGUCUGUGACACCCCAAUUCCCACAUCGGAUGGGAAUGGAGUUGUCAUUGGGUUUAUAUGAGACUUAGACACUAGUAAUAAUAACUGGGCUUAAGCAUUUUGGGCCAGUGGUUGGGCCCAACGAGUUAUUGUUACUAGUGGGCUGGGUUGUUACAAGUAUUGAGAGGACGAAUUGGAAGGUGGAUGUUAGCACUAUCCGAAUUCUCUCUCAAGUAUGUUCCGGCAAAAGCUGUUAAAGGACAAGCGAUAGCCAACUUUUUGGCUGAUCAUCCAUGUGUUGAAAUUAAAGAGCUGAAACAAAAUUUAGUCGGUUGUCAACCUUGGAUACUUUACUUUGACGGUUCAAGAAUAGCCGAGUCAGCAGGAGCUGGAAUAGUUGUACAGUCUCCUGAGGGGUAUAGCUGUCGGUUUACUUUUGAAUUAGAUUUCGGCUGUUCUAACAAUCAAGCCGAAUAUGAGGGUUUAAUAACUGGACUUGAAAUUUUACAAGAAUUAAAAGUUAAGUUACUCAAGGUCAUCAGUGAUUCACAAUUGGUGAUCAAACAAGUUAGUGGAGAAUACCGAUGCGAAAAUCAGAAUUUACAAAAUUAUUUAAGAAAAAACAGUGGAAUUGCUUUGCAGCUUCGGAGAAGUUGAAUUUGAGCAUUUGACGAGAGAGAAAAAUAAGGAAGCAAAUGAAUUACCCCAAUCGGCUUCAGGGUAUAGAGAGCCGAAACGAGGUUUAAUAGAAAUAGAAAAAAGACUACUGCCUUCGGUUCAUGUCCGAGAACCGAUUAUUGCUCCCAUAGAGGUGAAAGAUGAUUGGAGAAAAUCCAUAAUCGAAUACUUAGAAGACCCCAACAAAAAGGUCGACUAUAAUAUUCGAAGAAGAGCACUCGGCUACUGUCUAUUAGAUGGACAACUCUACAAGAGAACAGCCGAAGAAAUAUUAUUAAAAUAUUUAGGGCCUGAAGAAGCUAUAUUGGUGAUGGGAGAAACACAUGAGGGUUUAUGUGGAGCCCAUUUAGCAGGAAAAAGAUUAAGACGGACAAUUCGGCACUUAGGAUAUUAUUGGCCGACUAUGCAUCAAGAUUGUAUAGAAUAUGCUAAGGGUUGCCAAGAUUGUCAAUUUCAUAGAUUGGUACAGAGAAUUCCUGCUUCUGAGAUGUAUGCUAUAAUUAAACAUUGGCCUUUUUGAGGUUGAGCCAUGAGUUUGAUCGGAGAAAUUCAGCCGAACUCUUCGGCUGGUCAUAAAUUUUUAAUAGUGGCUGUCGACUAUUUUACUAAGUGAGUAGAAGUAAAACCCGCUCGGUUGGUCACUCAAAAAGAGAUCAUUGAUUUGUCGAAGAUUACAUAAUUCAUCGUUUCGGGAUUCCCGAGACAAUUAUAACCGAUCAAGGAACAAUGUUCGCAGGAGGACAGUUCAUUCUGUUCAUCGAGUCUCGAAAGAUAAUGUUACUUCAUCCGUCUCCUUAUUAUGCUCAAGCAAAUGGAUAGGCUGAGGCAGCAAAUAAGGUGAUUAUAAAUCUUAUGAAGCGACAUAUCGGAAAGUAUCCAAGAAAAUGAAAUGAAAAACUUUCUGAAGUAUUAUGGGCAUGCCAAACUUCAGUAAAAACAUCAACAGGAAUGACUCCAUUACAGCUAGUAUAUGGCCAUGAGGCCGUGUUACCAGCCGAAAUAACAGUUCCUUCUUUAAAAGUGGAAAAACAAAAGGAAUUGUCGGCUGAUGAAUAUAACGAUUUGAUGAAGAAAGAAAUGGAAGAAGUACAUGAAACUCGGUUAAUAGCAUUGAAUCAUUUACAAGCUUAUCAGAGCCGAGUACGCAAUGCAUACAAUACAAAAGUUGAAGCUAAAACUUUUGCAGUUGGAGACUUGGUUCUCAGGUUGAUAUUACCAAUCGGUCAAAAAGACCGAGUAUAUGGGAAAUGGUCUCCAGGAUGGGAAGGACCAUUUCAAAUUAGUAGAGUUACAAGGGGCAAUGCAUAUUAUCUAAAAAACAUAGAUGGGUCAGAAAACAAAAAACCAAUUAAUGGAAAAUAUUUGAAAAAGUAUUACCCAUCCAUGUGGGAGAAUAAUCAAAGUCAGAGUUAAAGGAUUACAAGCCGAAUCAAGAUAGCAAAUCCUUGAGUUGGUUCCAUUCGGCUAUCAAGUUAGCUUGGGCAGUCUCGGCUGCUUUUCUCCUACACUUUAUUAAAGGAUUCAUUUUGUAAAGUUGGAUAAGCUUGUCUUGAAGCUUUACCCAUUCAUCCUGCUUCGUCUUCAACUGAUCCUGUAGGAGGAGCCGACACUCAGAGGUACGAGCUAGAGUUGAUUCGGCUGCAGCUAAUUCUUUCUUGAGAGUUGAAAUUCGCUGCUGCAAAGCCAACUCCUGACCUGCUAAAGUUUGGUCUUCACGACUUACUUUAGUAAUAGGAGCCGCUACCUCAGGUAUAGUUUUCUUAGAAUGAUCAACUUGGUGAAAAUGUUGAUCAAGGGAUAAAAGCUCGGCACUUAAAGAUUGUUGCCGAGACAAAAAAGAAGAAAGUUGAGAUGAUAAGAUUUCCACAAAGCAUUUGCGAGCAGAAGAAAUAUCGGGUUAACCGGAUAAGUCAAGCAAGAGAGCGUAUAACCGAUCAAAUUGCUCUGGAUUCUGAGCCAAAGAAGGGAGACCAUUACUAUAUAAUUUGAGACACUCAUUAAAUUUAUGUUGAGUGUCUGAUGAUAUGAUAAUGGUUGAUGAAUCAUCUCCCUUAUUAGAAUUUGGGCUCGAAACAAGAAGAGAGUGGAGAGUUGCAGACAGGGGGUCUUCUGGAAUAGCCGAUGAAGCUUCAAGAGUCAAGUCCGGCUCUGUUUGUGCUCUUUCAGCGCUUUCUUCCAAAGGUGUGUUUGCAUUUUCUCCUUCUGUUGUUGGCAUUGGAAUUGAAAGAGGUGAUACUGCACCUCUUGUUGGCAACUCUUGGUUCUUUUCCUGAGUUGCCCUCUUCUUCUCUGCUUCCUGCUUCUUUUUUAGGCGAGCUUCACGGCGGAGUUGUCUAUCCAUCUGCGUCUUCAAAGAAGGCGCAAAAUGGACUCUUUCAGGAGAGGAUUGUUUUAUUAGGAGAAAAGAAUAAAUAAAUGAAGAAACAAAAGGAUUGAGUACGGAUAACUAAAUUGGUUUACCUCAAUCUCAAUCGGCUCGUUCGAAACAAAGCUUUGUUCAGCAGCCGAAGAAGAUUCUUCAGUUCUUUCUUUUGGAACAUCAGUCGAAGGUGUUUCUUCGGUUCUUCUUUCUCGAAUUGCAACCGAAGGUACAUCUUCGGCCCCUUUCUUUAAAACGUCAGCUAAAGAAGCACCUUCGGUUUGUUGGGAAUAUGAAUGUGGUCUCUUGACAACCGACUUACGCCGCUUUAGAGGCGGCGGAAGGGUGGAUUGUGUGGUUUCAAUCGACUUUUUCUCUGAAGCGGGGGCCGAUGGAGAAAUUGGAAUUGACUGCGGAUAAAGGCAAAAUAAGCAUUGGGCAUAAUGAGAAAAGAAAAGUCCAAAGAAAAGCAUAGUGUAUUACAGAAAAAUGAUGUGGGAUUUCAGAAAUUUCUUCUAGUUCUUCUUUUGGCAGAAAUGAAGCAGCGGGAUCAAUUGGGAUAGGUACUGCUGUAUCUGAGAGAUAAGUCAGCAAAGAAUUAAUAGAUUUUAAAAUGAAAGAAAAAUGACUAUGAGCAAAGAGGUGUACCAAACGGGAGAAUAGUUUGGCGGAACGCCUGUAAUACUGAUCAAUUGAAAGUACGAUCGGCAAAGUGAUGCCAGGUGACAGUAUAACGAAAACCUACCACCCCUGUGUAAUUCGGCCUGAAGCUUACUAAUUUGAAGAACCGCCGAAGGCGAUUCUCCAUAGCCGAGAUCCGAUCAGCAUCGGCUAUACUCUUAGUAGGGGGUCGGUUAACGGCAGUAUUGGCCAAGAAGAACUUGGCUGGAGCAGGGAUUGCUUGAGUGAACCCAAAUUGAUGCGCCACGAAUUAAGGAGAAUAAACCUCAGUGCUAAGCAACAGUUUCGAGCGCGAUUUCAUGCCGACAUGCAAAUCCCUUGCCGCCAAAAAUUAAUACCAAACACCUGCUACCCGCCGGCGCGAGAAGAAGCAAGUUCGCCUUGAAGAGCUUCGUAUCUUGCUAGGAACCAAGACGGGCCGGUGACACGGUCAGCAAAUGAAAACCAAUGGAUAGAGAAGUGAGGACAAGAUUCAUAAAACAUUUUAAAAUAAAAAAGAAAAUCAGAAGGGCGGCCUAAUGUUAGCGACGGAGGACAGCCAAGAGCCAGCCCGUAAGAAUCAAAAUGAGCAGCCGAAUCCUUAUCUAAAGGAGUUCGGCACAAGUUAGGGAAGUAAAUCUGUAAAAAUCUCUGCAAAAAUCAAAAAGCACCACAACCUUAACUGAUUGUUACACUAUUUCCAGAGGGUAGUAGUUUGAUAGAAUCAAAAUUUUUCUAUAAACAAAGGCAAGAAAAUAAGGCCCGAGAGCUAGCUUGUUGCCGUUAGUCAAACCAACGGCGAUUGGGACGAAGUCCCGAUUAAUUUUCUGCAAACAAGUAUAGAAGAGAUUAUGACAUAACCAAUAUAAAAGGAACGCUGUGUGUUCCUUCCUGGUAACAGGAGCAGGGGAUUCCCCUGUGAAUUUACGAAGAAACUUGGAAUAAGCAAGGUCAGAGAGGUCAAGGUGAGCCUCAAAGUCGGAUACGCCAUCAGAAUUGUAGGCCAUAGAGAGGGUAACACCAUGUGGCCUUAGACCAAGAAUGGCAGCUACGUUCAAGAGAGUCAGAGUAAGAGGUCAUCCUUUAAAAAGAAAAACAUUAGAAACAGGGGACUCGAAAAAGAGAGCAGAAGCCAAAAGAAGAUUGUUGGCUACAGGAGGUUUCCGAGAUAGCUGAAUGGUUUCAUAAAUCCCAACUUCUCGCAAGAAAUCACCAUAAGCAGCUUCCACCCGGUCUAACCAAGCCAAGUAAGCGUCCAAAACACUAGGCCAAGUUCGAAGACUUUUUCCUGUUGAAGCCGAAGGGUACCAGGAAUGGAGAUGUAUGGAUUUGGCCACUAAUAGAAGACCGUCGCUAGAAUAAGGGAAGUCAUCAGCAGGCGGGUCUUCAGUAAAGGAGGGACUCAGGAUUAAUCUAGUAGGGUCUGUCUCAAGAUACUAUUUGAGCAGGGUAUAGUCCAGUGAAGGACGAGUAGAUAAAGGCGGAAGCGGCACCAUUACUCGAAGAGAAAAGAAGCCGGGAACAAAGAUGGAGAUUAAAAGAAAUCGGAGAAGACGGAGAAGAAGUAAAGAGAAGCGAAGGAGGGGUUUCAUCGGAGAAAACAAGGAAGAAACAAAAAAGGAACAGAAAUGACAAAAGGAAUGCGAAGCUUGGUGAAGAAGAAAAGGCCGUCGAAUCGUCGCAUUGAAGCGAGUUUCAAGGUCGGCUAUAAUGAUGAAUAGACGGCGGUAAUUAAGAUGACCUAAUUAAUGCCGCAGAAGUGACAAAAAUAGAGGGCGAGAUCGGAGCCGUAGAAAAGAAAUUGAAGGCCAAGAUUGAACCGUACAGAGGAUCACGCCUCGGAUUACGUCAGUCACUCGUACAGAGAAUUUGAAUUUGAUUGGAUCGAGAACCACGCCUCGGAUUGUGCUUGUUAUUGAAGCGAUGGCAGGAUUUUCGGUAGUAGAAAAAGUGGACGGUUGAGGCGAAACCGUACCGAGAGAUUGAGGAGUGAUCGCGCCUCGAAUUACACCAGCUACCGAAGCGUUACUUCGAAAGCUGCCGAGGGGGCAAUUGUUGAGCCAAUAAGGCGCGAACAUAUAGUACACCAGUACUCCAUUUAGUUGUAUUGAUUUGUAGUACACUAGGAGCAACGGAAAAAUAUUAAACUGCACGACUUGAGAGAAGUUACAGUAACCGCAAGAAGUUGCAAGCUGUUUCGAUCGGCUGGAGGUGAUCCAAAAUAUUAGGAGAUAGUGGCCGAUCGUGUAAAAACAAUAACUGAUCAAGAGGCGAUCUAUAAAUAGGUCAAUAACGCCCUAAAAAGAGGUCUUUCCCCUGUGAACAAAAGACCACCCUUAAUUCCUCGCAAUUUUUUGUAUUCUUUAGGAGUAGUCUACUUGUAAUUUCUCUUUCCCACAUUUACUAUUCUUCCUAGGAGUAGUUUUAAGUAGAUCAACCGAGUCUGCAUGUCAUCCGGCACACUUGAACCCUGCACUUCUUAUCAGUGAAUAUAAAGGCAUUCGGCUUUUCAAGCCGAUCCAUUCCUUUGCUCUAUAGUCAUUUGGCUCCUCGGCCGACUUCAGUUCUUGCUUUGCCCGUACAUUCGGCUCAUCUAGCCGAACCGAAUUUAGUGUAGAGUUCCGAACCCGGCUGAUCGGAUCCCUCAUCAGCCGAAUCGCUUGAUCGAUUGAAGGGUGCAAACUUCGAGAGUCAGUAUCAAGAGCCGCUUCCAUCCCGACACGCUCCUUGAGAAGGACCUUUGACCUGGUCAAGGAUCGGAGAUUUUCGGCUCCAACAGGCUUUUUUCAAUAUUGAUGCUUUUAAAUGGGUAUCAAUGUAAUUCAAGAUUGCAGGAGGGCUGGGUAUGAAAAUCAAUAUAAUUCAAGAUUGCAGGAAGGCUGGGUAUGAAAUUAAUCCUACAAUAAAUUAUUAUUAUUCAGUAAAAUAAUUGGUAGUUUAAUUUUUUUCUUCCAAAGUUUUGAUGUUCAUGAUUUGGUAUAUGAUAGAUAAAUUCAUCUAUGAGAUAAUUCAUUUUAUUUUAAACAAAAGUAACUUAAAAGCCAUUUAUGGUAUUCCAUUUAGAUAUUUUACCAACCAUCUAGCUUUAGGCCAUAAUAAAAAAAAUACCAACUAUCUAGCUUCCAUCCUAGUACUCUUAAACUUUCUUAACCUUUUGUACCUAUUCAUCACCCAAAAUACUAUAAUUAGAUUAAGAAUUUUAGCCCUAUUAUCUCUUAUUCGAUAUAUUUUCAUGAUUUAUUUGAGAAAUUUAUAUAUUAUUAGAUAUUGAAAGUGAUCAAAUAUUUAGAAUUGAAAAUUGUAUCCGACCUUCAAAUUGAUCAUUUUCUGGAAUAAACAAAUUAUAUAGUUAAAAUAUAUUAUUCUACUAAAUCAUAAAUAUCGAAACCUAUCAAAAAUAUAUAUAUAUAAUUAAAUAUUUUUUUUUACUAUCAUGCUUGAAUAUUUUUUUACUGAAAUUCUGACUUUUAAAUAUGGCCUAAAGAUUUGGCUACCGUUAGUGGCUUGAAAUGAUGAAAUAUGACUCAAGAUGAUUAAUUAAUUGCCAAGAUGGAAAGUCUAAGCAGCAUACAUUAAAUUAACUUUUUGAAGUUUAGUUGGCUAUCUUUAAAAUGAGCGAAAUUUCGUGUGAUUUUGAUGUAAUUUUUAACUUAUAAAUAUAACGUAAGGCUUUUUCUCAACUCCCGACGACUUGUAUUCUAUUCUCAUGUUUAAAAAUAAAUGCAAUUUCUCGGCACUCUCCCUCCGCUUCCUCAGAGCUCGAAAGGCCCUCCGUUUCUCCUACCACUCAUCAGCUCCUUCAUCUACAAUUCCACCUCCCCCACCCCAAACCCUAGAAACCCGCUUCUUCCCCAUCUCUCUCGAUCCCCGAUCCUUCGUCUCCGCCCUCGUGCAAUGUCGCACCGUCGCACAUGUCGAACAAGUCCACGCCUUGGCGGUCUCCGCCGCCAUGAUCGAAAACCUCGGCGUCGCGAACAAAUUGGUUUACAUAUAUGCCCAGCACAAAGCUGUAUCCGAGGCCCACGCGCUCUUCUCCUGCAUGGCCGAGCGAGACAAUGUGUCGUGGAGCGUGAUGAUCGGUGGGUUUGCGAAGAUCGGAGAUCUCGGUAGCUGUUUGGGGAUUUUCAAGGAGUUUCUUCGAUCCGGCUCUCGGAUCGACAACUUCACUCUGCCCUUUGCUUUGCGGGCAUGUCGGGAUUUGAAGUCGAUUCGGUGGGGCAUGGAAAUCCACCAUCUUGUUUACAAGUCCGGGCUUCAUUCCGAUGUGUUUGUAUCUGCGGCGGUAGUCGAUAUGUAUGCGAAGUGUGGGUGCAUCGAAGAUGCUCGGAAGGUGUUUGAUAGAAUGCCGCUGAGGGACAUGGUGGCUUGGACGGUCAUGAUUGCUGGGUAUGCGGAGUGUGGGAAUCCCGAAGAGUCGUUGAUCUUGUUUGAUAAGAUGGAGGAGGAAGGAAUUGUACCCGAUAAGGUCACCAUGGUCGCAGCUGUGUUCGCAUGUGCGAAGCUGGGCGCUAUGCAUAAGGCGAGGUUAAUCCGUGAUUAUAUAUCAAGAAUGAAAUUUUCAUUGAAUGUGUUCUUGGGUACAGCGAUGAUUGAUAUGUAUGCGAAGUGCGGAAGUGUCGAUGAUGCCCGUGAAAUAUUCGAUGAAAUGCGUGAGAGAAAUGUCAUUACAUGGAGCUCAAUGAUAUCAGCGUAUGGAAUUCACGGCCGUGGCAAGGAGGCUCUUGAUCUGUUCACUAAGAUGUUGCAAUCUAGGGUUCAGCCUAACGAAAUUACCUUCGUGUCCUUAUUAUCAGCUUGCAGUCAUGCAGGGUUAGUCGAUGAGGGCCGGAAAUAUUUUCAUAUGAUGAAGAGGGAUUAUUUGAUCCAACCUGAUGUCAAACACUACACUUGCAUGCUCGAUCUUCUUGGCCGAGCUGGUAAACUUGAUGAGGCAUUGGAAUUGACCCACAAAAUGGAAGUCGAGAAAGACGAAGGAAUUUGGGGCGCAUUACUGGGUGCUUGUAGGAUCCAUGGGAAUAUAGAAUUAGCAGAAAAAGCUGCCCAAAACCUUCUUCAGCUUGGCCCAAGAAAUCCGGGGUAUUAUGUUUUGCUUUCAAAUAUAUAUGCCAAUGCAGGCAGAUGGGAAGAUGUCGCCAACGUGAGGGAGCAGAUGAAUGAUAGAACAUUGAAGAAAAUUCCAGGAUCGACGGUGAUUGAGAUCAAUAAUAAAAAUUAUAAAUUCAAAGUUGGUGAUAAAACCCACCCACAAUCGAAGGAGAUAUACGAAAUGUUAAAGACUCUUAGAGAGAAGUUAGAAUUGGCUGGAUACCUUCCUGAUACGAAUUUUGUGCUUCAUGAUGUGGAUGAGGAACUCAAAGCAGAGUUCUUAUACUCUCACAGUGAGAAGCUGGCGAUCGCAUUCGGUUUGAUUGCUACAACAGAGGGCAGUACGAUACGAAUAACUAAGAAUCUUCGAGUUUGCGGUGAUUGCCACACAUUUACUAAGAUGGUUUCGGCAAUCAUGCAUAGGGAGAUUGUUGUCCGAGAUGCAAAUAGGUUUCAUCACUUUAAAGAUGGUUCUUGCUCUUGUCGAGACUAUUGGUGACAAAUGGGAUUUGCUAAGGUCUUUUGCAGUCCUCUCCUAUCUGUGUUGCCAUAUGAAUCCAGAUGACAUUUUCGGGGUUAGUUACAGUUUUAAUCGCUUAAGUUUGUCCUUAGAUUCAAGUGUAUCCUCAUAGUUUCAGUCGUAACAAAUCGGUCCCUGAAGUAUGCUCAACAUUCAAGUCCUAUUAGUCAAUCAUCUGAAAAAGGUUCCACGUUAGCACAUCACCAAACUUUGCUUUUUUGAAGGUGAAAUUUUAUGGCAAAACUGAAAUCUGGGUAAUACUUCAUGGACUAUAUUGCUAAUAUUGAAAUCUGGGUCAUACUUCAUGGACUGUAUUUGGCUUUGGAAAUUCCGAAGAUGCCAAAGUAUCUGAUUCUCUUCUUCUUGUUUGCCAAGCCUCCUAGUUGUUGCCAUUUUGGGUUAGUAAUCACUCCACAUGAAUCUAAAGAACAAGCAAACUGCUAUUGUUAUUUCCUCCAUCUGACAGCUGUAUCAAUAACAUAGCCAGACAACAAACAGGAUUGCGAGCCAUAAAAUUACCUAUAAAUACACAACAUUAUUGCAAUGCUUAGAAGAACAGGCAAAAAAACAAUCACCAACAACCCAAUCGUUCUAGAAACACUUUCUGGUGAUAGAAGAUGGGAUUUAACAUUUUCUCUCAUGCCUUGCUCAUUAUACUUCUCUCACUGUCAGCCUCUCAUGUUCUUGUCCUAGCAGGGGAUCCCGACAUCACCUCAGACUUCAUUAUCCCGCCAAACUUGAACAACUCGCUCGUGAACGGCACCUUCUUCACCUUCACUGGACUUCGUCCCUUACUCACGUUGCCCCCACCGACAAACUUCACCGUCUCCAAGGUGACAAUGGCAGAAUUUCCCGCCCUAAAUGGCCAGAGUGUCUCUUUUGCCGUCUUAAUGUACCCGCCUGGCAGCGUGAACCCACCGCACACUCACCCUCGGUCUGCGGAGCUCUUAUUCCUUGUUGAGGGUUAUCUCGAAGUCGGAUUCGUUGAUACUACAAAUAAGCUAUACACUCAGAAAAUGCAACCGGGUGAUAUGUUUGUGUUCCCGAAAGGGCUUGUUCACUUUCAGUACUGCACCGGGCCGAAGCCCGCUGUCGCAUUUUCUGCUUUCGGAAGUGCGAGCGCGGGGCUUGUUUCUGUCCCUGGAAGUGUUUUUACGAGUAAUAUUGAUGAUGGAAUCCUUGCCAAGUCCUUCAAAGCGGAUGUUGGUACAAUUCAGAAGUUGAAGGAGGGGCUUGCAGCAAACAAGUGCUGAGUGUGGGAUUAUUAGAGUGCAUAAUAUAUAGUACGAGUGUGGACUACACAUAGGAAAUCAUUACCUAUGUUUAAGUUACAAAAAUAAAAUAGCAUUAGUGUGUUGUGAUAACUACAUUUGGACGUGUAUUCAUAAAGUGCAAUUUUUUGGUUGUUACCAGAAUUGCCUCUUUCAAUAAAUUUAUCUUUUUUUUCUGUGUGAAAUUUAGGACUGUCAGAAUUAUAUCAAAGAUAAUACAUAAAAGAUAAUUUUUAGGAAUAAAUAACCUUUCUCUCAAGGUUGUGCAAUCUGCCCGCCCCUUCUUCUCCGACGAUGAUAACAAUUCGUAACAAUUCGUAAGGAGGCCUCACAGCCUCUUCUUUCUUCUUCAUCGCUGGCGACAACGACGACUCCAAGACUACUCCCCCAUCAUGACUACUCCGCCAUCAUGAGGACAACAGAUUGGUGUAUCGGAGCAACCAGCAUAGUAGCGAUUCUCUUGUCGGUUUGAUCACAUGACCGUCUUCCUGACAUGCUCGACUAGUAGAAUCAGGCAUUGGAUUGUUACUAUAUCGUGCGCGUGUAUUCACUACGCGUCAGUCUCUCUAAUCUCAC
rnacentral:lncRNA from 1 species